rnacentral:lncRNA from 1 species
GGUGGCUGGGCCGGCGGCGGCGGCGGUACGAGGCGCGCGCUCGGGGUCCCGGUCGCGAGGAGGAGGAGGAUGUGGCGCGCGGAGGGGAAAUGGCUGCCGAAAACAAGCCGGAAGGUAAGAGCCGGAGCGCGAGGGCCCGGGGGGCGGCUCGGCGGGCGGCGGGACGCGGCCCCGCCGGACAUCCCAGGCAUCGGCGGCGCCGGGCGGGAGCGCGGGGGCGCGGCGGGCGGGCGCCCCGGCCGGGGAGGGGGCCGGCGGGGUUGGGGGGGGCGGAGCGCGGCCGAGUCCUGAGGUGACUCGCGGGGCGACGGAGCGCGGCGCCCCGCACCCCACCCCCGGGGGCGGGCUGGGCCGGGGGGGGCGGGGGGCGCGCGGGGCGGGGGCCGGGCCCAGCGAGGAGGAGGAGCCGCGGAGGGCCGGCGCCUCCCCCACCCGGACCGGGCAUCCCUACCGCUCGCGAGCUCGCGGCGCCCGCGCCCCUCGCGGCGGGCCCGGGGUGGGGGCCGCGGGGCGGAAAGUUUAUCCGCCUCGGGCCCCUGGCCCCGGCCGGGCCGCUCGGGCCGGUCCCCGUCGGGCGGCAGCGGCGGCGCUCAGCCCUCGCGGGCCGCCUGCUCCCGGCGGCGGGCAGGGCCGGACGUACUCUGGCAGCCCCCGCCGGCUCCCCGACGCCUCCCCGCCAGGCGGGGGUCCCCGCGCCGGUCCCCGCCAGGGGGACCCUCUCCCGCUGAGCGUGCCUCGGCCGAGGGCCUCGUGUGACCCCUCCCCCUUCGCCUCUCGGGGAGAGAAGGGGGCCUGCGCAGCAUCCCCGCCCCUCACCGCCCUGCACAUCCUACUCUUGCCCUUGCACCCUCGCAGCCUGGAGGGUGGGGUCUCGGUUUCGGUGGCUAGUGAGGCUCUCCACACUCCCUUGCCCUUUACCUUCGGUGACCCCGAUCGUCGCUUGGCAUAGGGGUCCGUCUGAGCCUCUCCCUUCCAUGGAACCUUUUGGGGCCUCUGCACUCUGUCUGUUGACCCUUUUUGCCAGGACUCGGGGGACUCGGGCCACCGCUGUUCUUUCCUCGCCCAGUGAUCCUGGGGGCCUGUGCAGCUCUGAAGUCAUUUCUAAAUGGGAGAGCAGACACUUCUUCAGAUUGUGUGCACUCUCCGCACACUUUCCUGGGUUAGGGUGAGCUCAUUCCCUGAAUACCCUUUGAAUUGCCCUCUUUUUCUUAGGUAGAAAACUGGAUGGUCAGUGCUCCUUUCUCCAGUUGUCUAUGUACCUUGACGUCUUCUUUCUCCUUGGAGUUCCCAGUCUUGAGGGUGGGUGCCCUAAUGAGAUGUAGGACAGGGCUUCUGUUGUGCCUAGCACUUGAGUAAAAAGGGGCCACAACAAUUACUCCCAUGUCGGAGGAAAACAAAGGUGUAAUUUUUACUUCUAGUUGAUUCUUGCAUCUUCGGGGGGGGGGGGGCAACCUUCACCAGUUGACACUAUCCCACUGGGAGAAGAGUCGUGUGCCCUUGGCUUUUGGUGUUCUGAUUACUGUCUUCUGUGCAAUAGGAACCAGACUUUGAACGUCCCACACUCAAGUGUCUUUGAACCUACCCUGGAAAUAAACUUUCCAAUUUCUCUUUUGAGAGGACUCAUAUCCUCCUUAUGGCUUCUGUUUCCUAGUCAGCCAUAUUUAGUGAGCCUGUUACCUUGACUUUUUCUAAUUUUCUCAAAUUGUAUUCAUGUUGGCUGGGUAAGGAGAAGCCAUAUGCCUUUCCAUCCAGAAUAGGGAGUGUAGACACCCAUGUCGCCCACGUGCCAUUCGGGAAGAGGUAGCUUGUGUGCUUCUUGUUGUACUAGAACCUUCCUUUGGCCCUGGUAGUGUCUCUUGUGGGAUCCAAACAUUUCUUUGGAUUUUGUAUCUUUUAGGCAAAUGGGAAAUUUGAAUGCUUUCUAUUUUCUGCUGCUCUGGUUCUCUUUGGUGAAACAGAUCAUCUUGAUGCUGUACUUAUUUGUUGACAUAUAUACAUAUAGGUCUGUAUGCAAAGAUAAAAUAAUAUUCUUUACAUAUACAGAGAAAAAGUUAGAAGGAUUAGGUGACUAGCUCUAUACUUUGGGUGUGUGAGGGGACUGUUACAUGCAAGAAUAUAAAUAUAUAUUACUUUUGUUGGUAACUGUUCAGGCUUAGGAGAACCAGAAGAAGAAUCACUGAUAAAUGGCCAGUUUUCACCACUCUUUUAUUUGUCAUUUGCACUGUACUGAAUAAGCAGAAUGACAUCCUGAAUGUUCACCAUGUCCCUGCUUAUGUGAAACGUAGAGUGCUUGUGGAUGAGCAUUCUGAAUUUAGGGGCAGUAUUCUUUGCUUUUUCUUCAUGGGGUGAAAAGUUCUUAUAUUUAUUUCUUUAUUGCAGUGUAGGGGAAGGAGGUUUCCUGUGUUUUGGGCAAAUGAUAGGAAAUGGGUGAGAAGAAUCUGUUUCUCUGUGACAGAACUAGGAAGGAAAGGCCACAUAAACACAUUCCUGCUGGAUUUUGGCCAUUUAAUAAGGAGAGAGGCUGUUAAAUUAGGAAAAGGUACAUUUGGAAAGGCCCUUGCCACUUCCUGAGAGGGUAGGAAGAUUAUUCCUGAGGUUUUUUUUUUUUUUUUUUUUCCCCUCUCCUCUGGGGAAGGGGAAUGGUGAGAGCCCUGUGGGCUGGGCUCUGGUUAGAGUUUUACCUCCUGGUCUUCACCCCUCCUUCCCUGCUGUCACUCUGAAUUAAAGUCUGUGUUUUUGACAGGCUUAGUGUGGAGACUUACUCUCCUCAGUGGGCUUGUUGGGCUGUGAGAAUUGGACCUUGGAGCACUUUUCUAGCAAGGAGACUCAACCUCGAUUUCCUGAGUAAGAAGAUAUAACCACUUAGAAGUUUGGAUAGCACUGGGUUUGGACUGCUGGAUUUUGCCAUUCAGUUAAUAUUGAGCUGUCCAUUGAGUAUGAUAACCGUUGGCAGAAAGAGCUUUUGACCUCCUUUUUGCUUUUCUUUUUGAGUUUCUUUUAGUUUUUAAGCUGUUUUGUCUGUAUCUGUAAUCAGCUUGAUCGAGUUGUGUAUUUUAGGGGUAAUGUUAGUCUUAGAAAAAUCAAGUCAAAUACCUGCUGUGUAUGUUGGCGCAAACCCAGAAGAGUUAUCUCAUUUCCCAUGCUAGCUCUUUCCUGCCCUUCUCUAGGCCACUGCCUGCCUUUGGGAGUCUUCGCCGUGGAACAAGGAGCUCCCUCCUGGGACAGUGGAAGGCAGAGUGGUGGAUGUUAGUCAGGAAUGUGCUGGAUAUUACUGUCUAAAGUUGGGUUCUCAACCUUGAGUUGAGUACAGUUGUGUUUUCUGUGUCACUGGGCUUCAUAGAUGAUUGGAAAUGGCUUUUUCCUCCUACUCCCCCAGUGCAAGGUGCUCUUUUGCAGAUAACCAGCCUUCAUGGGUUCUCUUAACCACUUUCCUUUUUUCUGUUUGGUUUUCUGCUUGAACAUCAGUCUUUCUCCUCUUAUCUCCCAGAUUUUGGGACAAGUUUCGGUGGCUGCUUCUCCCUUGUCUUCUUGAAGACCUGUCUUACCCUGCUUCUGGGAAACAUUGGGUUGUUCUGUCUCAUUUUUCAGUGUAUUCAGAAUGUUGACAUGUACAGGGCAGCCUUUCCUCAAGGUCAGAUUGGGUCAGCUUUUCCUGUUCAAAGUGUAGCAUUGUUGUUCUUAAUUGCUUUUAGAGACAUCUUUAUACAUCCUGCUCAGCCACAUUUUCUGUUUCUUUAGUUUUUAGGCUCUGGCUAUGAUAGACUUCCCCCCUAAAAAAGCCCAUUCUUAGAGUCAGGAAACAUUGGUUUAGAUCUUUGUUUAUGCUAGUGUAGUCUCUGUGAGUGGGUGGGUUUGGAAUUCUUUUUGACUGAUGGUGAGAUAGCCCUUCUGUGGCUUAACAUUUCUUCCCACCGUUUUCUUUACUUUGGGCCAUUCAUCAUUUCUCAUUUCUUAGAGUUUGAGGAAUACCCCUUUGUGUGCAGUUGUACUUCUUUCUGACUUCCUUAUGGAGAAAGCAGUAGAAGGUGAUUCUCAUGUUCUCUUAUUUUCCUUCUUUAGUUGUGCCACUUGCCUCUCUUGUGGUGCCUUUGAAUAUGCCCUUUUGGGGAGAAGCUGUUUUUAUACCCAUAAUCCAUUAUUGCAGUCAUGUACUCAGGAGCUCUUUACUGGGCAUCUACUAUGUGUAAAGCUCUGUGGGGGUUAUGUGACUUUAAGUGAGACCAUAUUGAAUCUUGUUAGUCUUUUAGUAUGAAUGACGUUUCAGUAUAUCUUGUACUUGUCUUUAAUAAAGUCUUGUACAAUUUUUGUCUGAAUUUUAAUUUUUUGGAUUGUAAUCUUACAAAAAUAUACUCUAAUAGUGUACUAUCCUGUUGAGCUUUCUCCCUCCUCCCUGCAGGAGUGGGGGUGGAGAAGAGGGUGGAGGAUGUACUGGGAGAGGCAUUGAACAGCUUUCCUCUAGGCUGUGGGUGUGUGUGAGAUAGAGAAGGAGAGAGAGAAAAGUAAAGUCAACCUUAAUCUGAUUGUCUAGACAUAACUUUCAGGUCAUUUAGGUAUAUGAUUGGUUGGGAUGUUUAUUAAACAUUUGAACAGCAGCGUUAUGUUAGAUAUUAUAUAGAACAUAAAAUCAAAUAUAUGCUUCAUAUAAAGAAGUGUUAGAAAAGCAUUUUUCUCUUCUGAUUAACUGGUCUGGUUUAUAUUACAGUAUAAUAUAUGAUAACUAUAACAUGAGCUGCUGUUAAAUUUUUGCUGCCAGAAAGUGUUAUAUCUAAAUUUAAUGCCUAAUUGUGAUGACCAUUCUUAGAUUAGAUAUCUGAUACCAUUAUCACUGCUUUUGUUUAUUAUGUGACUUUUUAUUCUUAAUGCUUUUUGAUAUACUGUUAUUUGUAUUUUUUUGUUUGUUUUUUGUGAGUAGCAGUGGAUUCUUCUUGGGUGCAGAUUAGAUAUUAAUGGUGAUGAUAAUCAUAAUAAAAAUUAAUCUGGAGUGUGUUUUUUUUUCCCUUCCUUUAAAUGAGAUUACCUCCUUCUAUAAUAUAUUUUAGAAGCCAGUUUUGCUAGGAUUUCACUACUGUGAAAACUAUUGUGUAGGAUUGUUAGGGUUGUGGUAUGUGGUUGGCAGUGUCCUCUGUUGAUGUGAAUGUGUGAGUGAAUGUUCUUGUGGUGACAGGGAUGUGUGCUUCUUUUGUGUUUCCAUUAUACAGAUCAUUUCCUACAGUGUUCUGUAUCUUCUAGAAUCACUUAGCUUGCCCUUUUGGGAUGUUUUAGAUUAAUUAAAUCCUACCUCUCUUUCUCUUCUUUAAAGUCUUUCCGUUUUCUCUGUUUCUCGUCUUUAGUCUUUCCUUUUCCUCUUCCUUGCAUAAGCAGGUUUCUCUACUGCCGUUAUUGUUAUUGUUAUAGAAAGCACUUGUAGAUAUAUUUCAUUUAUAGCCUUUCUGUCUUUUAGUGUAAAGGGGCUGCUUUCCAUCCCCUUUGUCCUGUAGACAAAGCAUGGUUCCUUCUUAUCUCCCUAAGAUAGGUAGAUGGCAUGGAAUUUAAGUUCCAGCAAGGGAUGACAGUGGUAUUUGUAACUGGAAAUCAUCUGAGGUUAAACACUGAGCCCUUCAAGGCUUCUGGGCCUCUACAUGUAGGAUUUUGUAAAUUUGUUCGUUUCUCUAUUCAGUCAGCUUUUUCUCUUUCUCUUUGGCUUGAUAUCAGUACAUUUCUUUGGGUACAGCCAACACAUAUACUAUGUCUUUGGAGCCUUUGUUUAUAAGAAAAUGGGGUCCUUUCCAGUGUUACUUUGCCUAUGCUGUUAUUGUCUUUAGUCUUCCAUGUGUUUGAGGGUGAGACUCAGAAGUGUUUCUUGUCCUACUUCUUGGCUGUAUAAUUUGAGUAGAGAGUAUAUGGCCAUUGCUCUGUUUUCCAGAAUGUAGUAUGACCUUUCUUUUUUUUUUGAAUACCCAAUCUGGUUCAGGAUAUAGGUUGAUCAGACACUAUCAGAACCUUUUGUUUGGUGCAUCUAUGGAUGUAUCCAUCAGUCCUUUAACCAAACUCAUUACCAUUCAGUCAUUAGAAGCUACUUGCCACCCUGUGAUAUUGGUCAUGUAUUUGUAAGGAAAGUCUAUUUCUAUAUAUAUUGACAAUGGUUAGCAGUCCCUGAUUUUUAAUAUGGUGGGACAAAGUAAAGCCCCCCUCCGCCCUUUGCUAUCAGUAUGGCUAUAUAAUUUUUAGGUUGUAGGACAUCUUUCUGCUUUGAAAACCAUGGCUUGUUGAAGGUCACAGGCCUACUUGUGUAAAGAUUGGUAAUGUUUCCUGAUCUCUUUUUUUUUAACUUCACUAUCCUGGACUUAAAUAUUAUAUUCGCCACUGCAAAGAGAGGUCAAGUAUCAGGUGUCUCUCUUACCCUUUUACUUUUUUUUUUUUUUUAAGAGUUUUGUUUAUUUACUUUGAGCUGAUUGAAAAGCAUAAGGUAGAAGGACUAGAGAUAGUUUGUGAUGACUCUUCUGCAUUCACCCAGUGUUUUGCUUAUUCUUUAUAUAAUAGCAUGUUCUCUUAUACAUGACUUCUUUGCUCUUUUUUUUUGGUCCAGUCUAUCCAGGCCCCUCAAGACAUGAACCGUAUCCCUUCCUGAUCCAGUUAGCAGGGGGGUAACUUUGAGGGAGAUGUGCUAGCUGUAUUAUCACUUUGCUUUCUGCAGUAUAGUUUUAUGCACAGAGUCACAUGCCUUUGAAGAACGCUUGGGACUGAGUUCUUCACAGUUUUAAACGUGGAGACUAAGUGGUAUUGCUCUUACCUCUUACCUCACUUCCUCAUGCCAUCUAAAAUAAAAUACCUUCCCAUGUUCUCUCCAAGCAAACAAAGAAACAAAUGCCAACAAAACAAAACAACAACCAUAGCAACAAAAUCCUGAACAAAAGCACAACACCCCGAAGGCCAUCUCUGAUUGCUCCUGCUCUCCACUUCAGUUGCUAGUUUUGGACAGGUGUAUGACUUUUGGAUAUGUAGUCUAGUGGGGUUGACAUGCGAAAAGCCUUUUAGGACACUCAGCAUUCAUUCAUUCAAUAGACCAUGCAGUAUCUCUUCCAUUUUUCUUUAUCAGUUACUACAAGGUAAAACCUGCAAAGUGUGUUAGUUUCCCCCAUUAUUCCCACUAACCCAUUGGAAUAAAUAGUGGUAACUUAUUAUCCCUACUUUUGUGUUCAAUAUUGGUGAGAGAGUGGAGAGCUGAUUUCCAGUGGUGAUAGUAUAGCCUGUGACUGACUUCUCUGUGCAGUCUAGUCAUUAUUGCAAUAAUGAUUUACAUUUUCAACUAAAUUUAGGGUUUGUAAAGAGGGAUAAUCCAGAUAUGUAAUUCUGUUUUUUUUACAUCCAACAGGAUGUAUCUGUGUGUUAUAUUAGAAUGAUGUGUGGAUACAUCUCUUUUCAACAAUUUAAAAAAAAAGACUUUGCUUAUUCUUGAUAUAGAUUCUUGAAAAAACAGGAAUUAUCUUUUUUUCUUCAUCAAGCCAUCAAAGUUGAUUUAGAUUGCCAGUUGUUAUUUCGGAAGGUAUAUUAAUACAAUGAAGAAUUUCUCUCUUAAAAAUUUAGACUUUGUUUUUAAUCCUUUUCUGAACAGUCAUUUCUGGGUAUGUGUAUGCCUCACUGGUUUUCUAGGCACUUGGAUAUCAAAUCCUUUGGGGGUGAUAAUAAGAAAUUGGUAUGAAGUAUGAAACUAUCAAAUAGGAAGCAAAAAAAUGCUGUUGUGAAACAAUUACCUAUUUAUGAUUAAAAAUAAUCUCAAAGUGGUAUUUGGAAGUGUGAUUUGAAAUACUCUUAAGAAAAAAUGGAAUGUUGAUGUGGUUACUAUUUUGAAAUGGACACAUGCAUAUUGUAGAAUGACUGCUCUUCCAAAUGGGGCAUUUAGAAAACAAAUAGAUUGAUAGGAUUGGUUAUUUUAAAAUGUCUCUUUUUUUCUCUCUCUCUUUUAAGGAAACAAUUGAAAUAAAAGCCAUUCUUAAUGAAGAAAAUGUAAACUUUGCUGUAAGUUUAGCAUUUGCAAAGUAAAGAUUCAAGAUAAGGAUUUUUUUAUUGCAAAUCCACAAGGGGGUAGUGAUGUUCUAUCAAAGAUAUUUGUGGUGGAAAUGUGAGAUGAUCUCUUUUAACAUUUUAGAUUUACAGAUAAAACUGGCAUGUUUGCAUUUUAACUUAAUAAGAUCUUCUUUUUAAAAUGUUUAUUGGCAAAAUUGUUUAUUGCUUAAAUUAAAAAAAAUCCAUUUGGGGUGAAUGCUAUUUUAAGCUGUACAAAUGUUGAGAAGAGAGAAUGUUCUUGUAGUAUUGUGCUUUGGAAAGGUUACGAAGGAGCUGAGGGUCAGUGUUAUUUUCUAAGAAUGUAAUAAUCUUAAAUUUCCUGGGAAACAUUAGGAAUCUAGGAAUCAGUAACUUAAGUGUUCUGAAUAAAAGGAUGUUAGUAAAUUGUGUCUAAAGUUUACAGAAGUUUGUAUUACUAGUUGUAUUUUUCAGUUCUGCCAAGAGAUGAAAAAAUGUGAACAAUCCCUACCACUAGCUAAUUUUAAUAGUUCUAAAUAAAUCAAAAUUUUGUAAUAUCUUUUUGUAAGUUUAUCUUACAUCAUCGUAUAAAAACAUUUUUUUCCUCCCUCACAUAAAAAUUCCAGCAGCUUGCCUCUGUCUUUGAAUUCCACUGUCAUAUUCAGAAUACAAGUCAGUGAGUGUUGUGUGGUGAUGUCAGGUGGUCUGUUACUCUAGCUGUAUUACUGUGCUCUUGUUUAAAAGGCUAUGUAGUGGGAGAAAGAUUUAAAAUUGGGAUGGGAAUUAUGUCCUACUUAUUUAGAGACACAGUAACUUUGUUUUUAAAAAAUGCUACUUUUAACAUUAAUGGUAUUAAACAAUUCUACAGUUUAGAAGUUAGUGUCAUAUAUGUUUGUGUAUUUUUCAUUUCUGGUCUAGGAAAAAGAUUGUUAAUACAGUUUUUCUCCCCUCUUUCCCCUUCCCUCAUUCUGAGCAGAAAAGGGCCAUUUCUUCUCCUUUAUUAAAUGACUUUGGUGAUUUAACAUCUCCAAAGAUCCACAGAUUCUUUGCAUACUACUCUCAGCUCUACUGGGAACUGAACUAUGACGUCAGCAUUUUCAUUCAUGGAUUCGAUUCUUCUGAGCCUGUUUUCUUGGUUUGUAUUCCUGAGCUAACUUCUGGCACAUGCACAGAUCAGUUUACCAUCAGGCAGCCCAUAAAUCAACCGUAAAAGGUAAAACAAAAGAUAAGACACCGUAGUUUUUUCAAUAGCACUGUAGUUGCUCAUGCUGAUUUGCAUCAAUGCAGUUUGGAUAAGGUUCCUGGCCAAACAGAUUAAAAUCUAAAAACAGUCAGUUUAAUUAUCUCAUGAUUUUGUGGAUUGAACUGUGUUGUGAACAUACUGAUAAAAAAUUUUUGUUCUUGGUGGAAGUUCAGAGUGCUGUGUGGUAUAUGUAGCUUCUUUGUUAUAAAGUAGCAUUUCUUUUAUCAUUUGGCUGAACUGGAGAUACAUUAUUUCACCGAGGUUAGGCCUGGAGAUUAAAUUAUGUCCUACUCAAAUUACUUUUGGAAUGAAUUUGGAUUUUGGGAGGAAAUUAAAAUAUUUUAAAUAACUAUUAUUUAAUGCAUAUAUUUCAUACGUUAUUGUUAUUAUUAUAGAACUGGUGUAGCACCCCAUGUGUUGGAGUCUGAUUUCAUCUCCCCUAGACUAUAUUUCCUGUGGUUGUGGACUCCAGCAUCUCUUCCAGGGAGGUCACUGCUUGUAAUUUAGUGCUGUGUGAGAACAGUUCUUGAAGAAAUCUUACUUGGAGAUUAACUCUUUAGGGCCAAGUUGGAGGCUGGGCCUCUGGCCUCUGGCAUUCAAGCCUCUUGGGGUUGAUGAAUGGUGAGCUGUAAGAAAGUUCAUUUUCUCUGCUUUCUUGAGGGUUUGCUGACUUUCUGUAUUUUUAAUUGUCAAGAAUAUUUAGAAAUACAAUGUAUUACUUUUAGGAAGUACCUUUUAGUUCACUUAUAUUUCAUGGUUGUAGUAGAUGAUUCAAACUGUGUCCAUUUGGAUUGAUAUGCAUUUAUCCUUCCUUCCACCCCUUGCUGGGGAUUGUACCUAGGAUCUUGUUAAUACAUAUUAGUCUAGUGAUACCUCAUAGAUACUCUCUCUCCAUCCCUAAAUAGAAUUAGAGCUUUGUGCUUUUUAGGUUCAAUAAGUUGUCUGAGGGGUAACGGAUGAGUGGUCUCUGUGUUAGCUUUGUUCUUUAAAUAGAUGUACUGGGAAAAAGAAAAUGAAAUCAAAUAGCGUGUGGAUGUGCAUUUGAAGACUUAAAUGACUUGUUAUUUUCUCUAAGAACUAGUGUUGCUAUUAUAAAUAUUUCUUCCCUAUAAAUACAAUUAUUUGCAAGUAACAUCAAAGAAAGACUUAAUGGUGAAGGGUCUGUGUGAAAACUUUCUAAUUUUCAAAAUUACCUCUGUUGGAUUUCUGGACAGUUGUGGAUUGUGAUGGCAGGUUUCACAAUGUUUGAAACACUGCUGUGGGAUUAGCAUUGUCAUUAUUGUCAUACCAUGGGCAAGUAAUAGGUUAAGUCUUCUGGCCAUGGAGGGUUUAGGUUUCCCAGGGCUUUUAGAACAAGUCCACUUUGAUUGUGUCCAAUGCUUUUUCCUUUCAGUAGCUGGGAAUGCAGUCCAGCAGGACUAUGGACCCUUUAAGCAGUGUGUUUUCUGCAGUCAUCCUUGUUGUCACUUCCAUGGGCCAGGAGAGCAAAGGAGCCUUAUCUCUUCUCAGACUCUACAUCUUCUUGUUCUUACUAGAUUGGUCUGCUCAGUUUAUUGCUCUUCAUUCUUGGCCAGCAUCUCCUUGUCUUGCCUUUCCUAGACCUCAGCUGUGGUAGAAUGAGUUGAUAAUGAUUUUGAGGGAUUCAUGUGUUGGGUGGUCUUAGAAAUGAUCUCUGAAGUCAUUCUGUUCUUUCUUAAGAUGAUAAGAAGGUGAGGUUGGAUUAUGGAACUUCCCUUCACAUCUUGGUUUCCUGGUAUGCAGCUGUUUUGUGUAGCUGUUGCUUUUCUUUUUGAGGUCCUUGCUCCAGAUCAAGAAGAAAUAUGUAGCUUCAAGCUGUGUAGGAGGAAUUUGAACUAUUGCUACUGAGGUACCUCCUUUCCAGUGUACAUAGAGGGCUAAUUUUUUUUUACAUCUUCUGCCUGCUAUAUUGUGAGUAUUUAGGAAAUGUAAAAAAUUUUUAGGAGUUUUAAUAGAAAAUGUGCAACAAGAAUGUUCAGUCUUCCUGUUAUUCUCUAUGGUAGAUUUAAGGCUUUAUUCAGUUACAGAUGAGGGUUCAUAGUUUUGGGAAAUAGACUUAAAUAAUAGAUGAUUACAGAUUAAAAAAUAUUUGCUAAUCUUAGGUGUUUUACAUUCAAGGUAGUGUUUAUACUCAUUUAGUUGUGUUUUUUGGGUUUGAUUAAUAUUACUUAUUAAAAUGUAUUGAUUGCCAGUAAUUCAGUAAAUAAAAGACUGUUUCUGUCAUGUGUAUUGGGGAGUUGCUGAGGGUCCACUAUAAUUGAUUAUAUAGGAUCUUUGCUUGGACAUACUCCCUGGGCAAUGAUAGGCCUGGUGUUUGGGGGGCCUUUGAACAUAAUUCAUCUUUGAAAGUUUUUUUUUUCCAAUAUUUAAAGAUACUGAAGGCAAGUUAAAGUUCCUGGUGUUAUAAACUUCCCUGCCUGUCCUUUCUAUUUCUGCCAUCAUAAAAUGUGUUGGCCGAAUCAUUUACUUUGACAAAGCUUCGAUGGAAGUUUCUUCUUCAUUUAGUUUUAUUGAUGGAGGCUGUUGUGCUAAAAAGAACGCUGUAACAAGUUGAAAGGUGGUGAGUGGGCACUCGGAGCUUUGAAGUACUUGUCUUUCUUCCUAGGGCUCCUCCAGAAAUUGAUUAUAGAUUACUUGACCAAAUUUAAAGCCCACAAACUUAUUGCAGACAUUCUGGGAGCAAAGAAGCAUCAGUCUUUCUGUACUGAGUUUGAUAUUCUAUUGUGACACAUUGCUCCUUGUGUGAGGACCUCCUGAUGCAGAUAUGAUAGUGGUGACCUCUCUGCUUAGGAGAAAUAUUUUUGGCAGCUCUAUGAUCUGUCGUCUCCAAGUAUUUUUAGUCUCUUUGCCUCUGUCUGAGGAGCUGAGGAUGGAUUUAGCUGUUUUGGUGCUGCUCCAAGUUGUGAUGGAUGCCUUUGCUACCUUGCUCACCAACCUACCCAGUACUGCCCUGAUGAGGUUCUUGCCCUUGUCAUUUGAUGAAGGAGCAGAUAGAACCAUUUGCUCAAUAAAGAGAAAAAAACUCAUGAUUUUCAGAAUGCUUUUAAAAAUAAAAGAUGGUUAGUGGUGAUGGUGUACAACCAUGUGAAAGUACUUACUGCCACUAAAUUGUAUGCUCAAAAAUGGCUAAAAUUUAUGUUGGGUAUAUUUUGCCACCAUUAAAGAAAGGGUAAUUUUCAAAUGAAUUAGACAUCUAAUGAGCAAAGUAUCUAAACAGUUCUCAGAGUGAAUGAAUAUAUGGCAGUAUUUUCAUCACCCCAAGGUUGGAGAUUGUUUCUUAAGUAAAUUGUCAAAAAUCUCUCUCUCUCUCUCUCUCUCUCUCACACACACACACACACACACACCCACCCACACACACCCACACACACAUACACACUAUAUGAUGGUAAUCAGGCCCUGAGAUUCUUUUAUACAGAAAAUGAUAUUUUAGGUCGGAUUUUUGUAUUUGUAGUAUUUAUAAUUGUUAAGAGGAUUGACUGGCUCAUUCAGAAAAGUUUAAGGCUCAUAGUGGAUACUUGGAAAGUAGAUUGUUUGGUAUUGAUGCCUUACUUUAAAUUAGAACAGUUUGAAUUGCAGGGAUUCCAGCUACUCAGGUUAGGUCAAGUGGGGCAGUUCUAGGCUAAGAAGUCUCAGCCUCCAGGACAGACACUAAAGUGCAGUGGGAGAUUCUGGGAACUGGCCAGAACUGGAGUGUCUGGUUGUCCUCUCUAGAGAUGUGUUGGGCUAAGCAGAGAUCUGUGGAUGCCAGGGCUCCUGUUUCUGCUGUGCCCUUUUUCUCUCCUCUCCCGUUUCUCCUUGCAGAUUGGCUUUCUCCUCUGAUUUCCUUGCUUCAGUUGCAUGCAGGUAUAGCCUGCCAUGGCCCCAGUCAUGGCUCCUAGUUCCAUUGCUUCCCAUCAUCUGACUCCACUUUGAGAGCCCAGUAUGAAAAUACUCAAGACAGAAUUGGACUGACUCCUUUCAGCAAGUUGCUCUGUUUCCAUGGGGCUGGUUAGGGUUAGUGGCCUGCUGAUCAUUUAGGAGUUAGGCUGAGAGGACUUUGUGUGAGAAGAGUUUGAUAGUAGGGGGCCUGGCACCUCAGACUGCAUCUAUCUCCCUCGACGUGCAGUAAAAAAGAAAGGAUAUUGACUUCUAAGUGGCUUUCUUGUGUUCAGUUGCUAUAGUGAUUAAACUUUUUGCAGAGAAAAAUGUUCAUUGUAGCUAUAGAUAGGAGGCCAAGCAUCCUUAGUCAGUCAGCUUGAGUGUGUGUAGAAUACAUCAGCAAAGGGUGUCAGAACUGUCCCAUAGCUUGUGCUUUGAAUGGUUGCAGAGCAGGAAUGCCACCAUCAGUGCAGUCUGUGCCCUGCAGGGUUCUCAGAAUAGGCAGUGAAAGGGAAUGUCAGUAUCAUGUGAGGGCUCACAUUUCAGGUGAGCUCCCCUUUCUCCUGGUUGUGGACCAGUAAGCUUAAAAGGUUAAGAAGAAAGGGAGACAUUGCCCUCCCUGUGAGCAUGAUGGGGGAACCCAGGAGCAGCCUCUGCAAAGGCCUUCGGCCGCCUCUCUACCCUGUCAGUGCACCUUCAGCUGGCCUCCUUCCUCUGGUCUCUUUUCCCGUGAUUUCUCAUGUAGAAGGAAUUAUAGAAAAUGGGAAGCCUGUGCAAGAACAGGUUUGGAGGUCCUGUGUGAGGGCUGAGGGCCUCUACAGCAUGGAACUACCUGAAUUGACAGUGGUUAGGAAUUGAGGUUUCACAGUUAGGACCUGGAGUAUCCAGUAUUCAGAAAGCAGAGUUUUGGAUUAUCUUUUUUACAGAAGAGGAGAGUAUGUAAUGUUUUAGGGAAACAAUCACUAAAGUAGUUGUAGUUAAAUGGAUUUGAUUCUUUUUAAAUAAAUUGUAAAACAACAAUUUAUUAAAAUAUAAUUCAUAUACCCUUUAAAAGUUUAGUGGCUUGUACUAUAUUUAUGUGGUUACACAACUAUCACCACUAAUACUUCAUGUUCAUCAAUCCAAAAAGAAAAUCUGUGCCCAUUAGCAGUCACUCCCAACUCUUCCCUCUGCUAGGCAAUUACUAAUCUACUUGCUGUCUUUGUGGAUUUGCCUAUUUUGGACCUUUUAUAUAAAUGGAGCCAGACAGUAUUUGUUCUUUUGUGAUAGGUGUGUUUUCCUUGGCAUAAUGUUUUCUUUUUUUUUCAGUGCUGGGAUUUAAACCCAGAGCCUAGUGCAUACUAGGCAAGUGCUCUGACAUUGAACUAUACACCCAGUACAUAAAGAAGUUUUUUUUUUUUUUUCCCCCUUCCCUUUUCAGUUUUUGGCAGUGCUGGGCAUUGAACCCAAUUCCUUUCCCAUGCUAGGCAAGUGAGCUACAUUUCUGGUCCUGGCAUAAUGUUUUCAAAGAUCAUUCAUGUUGUAGCACGCAUCAUUAGUUAAUUUCUUUUAUGACUGAUUUUUUUUUUUUUAUUGUAAGGAUAUACCACAUUUUGUUUAUCCACUCACCAAUUGAUGGACAUUUGAGUACUCUGCUUUUUGACUCUUAUGAAAAAUUUGCUAUGAACAUUAAAGAACAAUUUUUUUUGUAGACAAAUGCUUUCAGUUGUCUUAGGUAAGAUACCUAGGCAUGGAAUUGCUGUGUAGUGUGUUUAUUGUGUUCUCCUUUUCAAGGAACUGCCAAAUUGUUCUCCAUAGUAACAGUGUUAUGUUAUAUUCCACCAGUGAUGCCUGAGGGUUCCAGUAUCUCCAUAUCCUUGCUGACACUUGUUAAUCUCCAUCUUUGUGACUGCAGUUUGUCAAUUUGUACAAAAAAAGACUACUGGGAUUAUGUUUAAUCUAUUAUGUAUUUGGGGAGUUAAAAUCCUUUUUAUGAAUCUGUAAGUUGAGAAACUCCUGGCUAACCCCAGUAUCUCACCUUAAAAACAUGCAAUUGUUUCACCUUUUUUUUUUUUUUUGAGAGAGAGAGAUAGAGGGAGGGAGGGAGGGAGGGAGAGGGAGAGAGAGAGAUUUUUUUUUAAUAUUUCUUUUUUAGUUUUCGGUGGACACAACAUUUUUAUUUUAUUUUUAUGUGGUGCUGAGGAUUAAACCCAGCGCCCCGUGAAUGCCAGGUGAGCGUGUUACCACUUGAGCCACAUCCUCAGCCCUGUUUCACUUUUCUAAUACAGAAAGUUGCCUCGGUGAGCAUUGUAGUCACUGUCAGGCUGAAAUUGGACUUUGUAGGUUCUAGGAGAGCAGCUAGCUGCCCAUAUAGCCCAUAGGUGAUUUCUUCUCCUUCUUCUUUUUUUUAAAAAAAUUAUUUUAGAUAUACAUGACAAUAGAGUGUAUUUUUUUUUUAGUUGUAGAUGGACACAAUAGCUUUAUUUUGUUUGUUUAUUUUUAUGUGGUGCUGAGAAUCGGACCCAGCGCCUCACACAUGCUAGGCAAGCACUCUACCUCUGAGCCACAUCCCUAGCCCCCAGUAGAGUGUAUUUUGACAUAUUAUACAUAUAUGGAGUAUUAGUAACUUAUUCUAAUUAGGAUCCCAUUCUUGUGGUUAUACACAAAGUGGAGUUUCAUGAAUACUGAUCAUGUAUGCAUAUAUGAACAUAGGAAAGUUACGUCUGAUUGAUUCUACUGUCCUUGCUAUUCUCAUCCAUCCUCCCUUCCCUUCAUUCCCUUUUGUCUAAACCAGUGAACUUCUGUUCUUUCCUCCCCCACACUUAUUAUGUGUUAGCUUCCACAUAUCAGAAAGAGCAUUUGGCCUUUGAUUUUUUGGGAUUGGCUUAUUUCACUUAACACAGUAGUCUUCAGUUUCAUCCAUUAACUAGCAAAUGCCAUUAUUUUGUUCUUCUUUAUAGCUGAGUAAUAUUCCAUUGUGUAAAUAUACCACAUUUUCAUCUGUUGAAGGGCAUCUAGGUUGGUUUUUGUGAAUUGAGCUUUUGUAAACAUUGAUGUGGCUGUGUUACUAUAGUAUGCAGACUUUAAGUCUUUUGGGUAUAUACCAAGGAGUGGGAUAACUGGGUCAAAUGAUGGUUCCAUUCUAAGUUUUCUAAGGAAUCUCCAUACUACUUUCCAUAGUGGUUGCACCAAUUUGCAAUCCCACCAGCAGAGUAAGAGUGAAUCUUUUCUCUCACAUCCUUGCCAACAUUUAUUAUUUGUAUUCUUUUUUUUUUAAAGAGAGAGAGAGAAAGAGAAUUUUUUUUUAAUAUUUAUUUUUUAGUUUUCGGCGGACACAACAUCUUUGUUUGUAUGUGGUGCUAAGGAUCGAACCCGGGCCGCACGCAUGCCAGGUGAGCGCGCUACUGCUUGAGCCACAUCCCCAGCCCCUAUUAUUUGUAUUCUUUUUUUUUUUUUUAGAGAGAGAGAGAGAAGAGAGAGAGAAUUUUUUUUAAUAUUUGUUUUUCAGUCUUCAGUGGACCCAACAUCUUUAUUUUUAUGUGGUGCUGAAGAUCGAACUCAGCACCCCGCGCAAGCCAGGCGAGCAUGUUACAGCUUGAGCCACAUCCCCAGCCCUAUUUGUAUUCUUGAUAGUUGCCAUUCUGACUGGAGUGAGAUGUAACUUCAAGUCUGGUUUUAAUUUGCAUUUCUCUAGUUGCUAGAGAUGCUGAAUACAUUUUCAUAUAUUUGUUGACCAUUUGUAUUUCUUCUCUGAAGUGCCUGUUCAGUUUCUUUGCCCAAUUAUCAACUGGGUUAUUUAUUUAUUUUUGUGUGAAGUUUUUUGAGUUCUUUGUAUGUUCUGGAGAUCAAUUCUCUAUUUGAGGUGCAGGUGGCAAAGAUUUUCUCCCAUUCUGUAGGCUCUCACAUUCUUUUUUUUUUUUUUUUUUUUUUAAAGAGAGAGUGGGAGAGAGAGAGAGAGAGAGAGAGAGAGAGAGAAUUUUUUAAUAUUUAUUUUUUAGUUCUCGGCUGACACAACAUCUUUGUUUGUACGUGGUGCUGAGGAUCGAACCCGGGCCGCACGCAUGCCAGGGGAGCGCGCUACCGCUUGAGCCACAUCCCCAGCCCCUCUCACAUUCUUAAUCACAUUCUUGAUUGUUUCUUUUGCUGUGAGAAACCUUUUUAAUUUGACACUUUCCCAAUUAUUGAUUCUUGAUUUUACUUUUUGCACUUUAGGAGCCUUGUUGAGGAAUUUGGUUCCUAAGCCAACAUGAUGGAGAUUUGGGCCUACUUUUUCUUCUAGUAGGUGAAGAGUCUCUUGGCUAAUGCCUAGGUUCUUGAUCCAUUUUGAGUUGAGUUUUGUGCAGGGUGAGAGAGAGAGGUUCAAUUUCAUUGUACUAUAUAUGGAUUUCCAGUUUUCCCAACACCAUUUGUUGAAGAGGCGAUUUUUUUUUUCCAACGUUUAUGGUGCCUUUUUCUAGUAUGAGAUAAUUGUAUUUAUGUGGGUUUGUCUCUGUGUCUUCUGUUCUGUUCCAUUGGUCUUCAUGUCUGUUUUUGUGCCAGUAUCAUAGGGUGACUUCUUGAUGUUUGUGUUCUUUUGAUGUGAAAGUUUGCUGAUGCCAUGCCUGUGUAGAAAAAGAUAGACUGUUUUGGUUAAGACACAUUCUGCUAAGAAAAUUAGCAGAUUACAUGUAUGGAUAUUUAAUUAUCAAAGAGUCAGAAUAUGUUAAAAUUGUGAUGUUGAAAUUCAUGCAGUUCUUAUUGUUGGAGGUAUCAGAAGGCACCAUGUGAACAUUAGUUAUUAUUGUGUUUUUGAGUUUUUGUGUACUCAACAAAUAAUAACAAAAUGCCUAUUUGUGCCAGGCAUGGAAGGACUGAGUCAGCCCCUGUCCUCAUGGAGCUAAUGGGGAGACCCACCUUAAUCAGGAUGCCAUGUGAGAUAACAGCUGGAUGUGAUGUCCCAAAGGUGAGGUGUGAAGGCAGUGUGGUGCAUUACCAUGGGAUUGACUCACUGAGUGAGAGGUUGGGGGCUUUGUGAGCACAACUGUGGAGGAACAUGGGGAUUACUUGAGGGAAGAAUUAGGGAAGGAAAUUCCAGGUGAUUGAGUGAGCUGGUUGGUGAGAUGUGUGGAGAUGGUUGGGUCCAUUCUGGCUGUGUACAGCUUUUGGGAAAGAGUGUCUGAAGACCUGGCUAUGGUCUUUUACUCUGCCCCUUAAGUGCCUUGUGACUGAGCGGUUAUCUGAUCUUUCUGAGCUUGCUUACUUACUAGCUAUUUUUAUUUAGAGAUACUCACAUGAAAACAUGCAGGAAUCUAGGGCUUUUGAUUGGUUGUUUUCUUAUAAUUCAGAAACAGUUAUUUCUUUGUGAGCUUCUAUGAUUGGCUACUUAGAAAUGCAGCACUGGCAAACAAUAUUUUUCUGAACAUUUUCCCUAGUCAUUGAUGUCAGGAUUCACUUCAUUACUUCAUCUGAAAUUAAUCCAGAAGCUUGUUGGGCAGAAGUGGGGCUGGUGUGGCUGUAUCUGACUGAGGCAGCUCAGACUGCUGGUGUGAGGUGCUCAGAAGAGCUGGAAAGUCUUCUUGGAGGAGGUGGAAUUUGACUUGGUAACAUUGACAGUUGGAGGAGAAAUUCCAGGAGGAAAUGGAGCAAAGGAAAUGCCAGGAAAGGGCUUGGGGCAGCUAGAGUGCAAAGAGCUUGAUGGAAGGAUAGGCCUGGAAGAGCAGGUAGGCCCAGGUGCAGGCCUGUGAAGGCCGCCUGAGGAACUGCUUGUCAUCUGCUCAGAGAGAGGCUCUCAGAACUUUUUUUACUUUUUUUUUUUUAAUCCACUGAUGGGAUAAAGCUGAUUCUCCUUCAAGGUGCUGCUUGGGCCACCAGCUUGCCUCUUAAGCUUCAUCCAUUCCACACACACACAACUUGGCCCCACACACAGCAUGCUGUUUUUUAGUGUCUGAUUGUGUCAGGGUCUCCUACUUCUUCGUGGUUGCAGGCCUUGCACACUGCUGUUGCUUAAUGUGGGCGGUAGCCUUCCUUCAGAACACAGAUACUAAGCUCACACGUGCUCUUGAUGAUGCUCCUUGGCUUUACUUCUUUCCAGACUGGAUUGGGCACCCUUCCUUUUUUACCAGAGCACUCUGGGUUUCCUGGGCAUAACAUUUUAGUUCCUUUUGGAGUUGCUUGCUUCUGUUUCUUCCUCAGUUAUGCAUUCAUUUUGAGAGGUCAGACACUGAAGGACCUGGGCGUAGUAAGUAUAUAUUGGCUGAGUGAGUGAAUGAGUGAACAGGAAGCACUAGAGUCCGGAGAAAGUCACUCCUGGCAAGAGUUCUGUGUGGUGUCAGGCUGAAGAAAGAGCUAGUGUGACUGAGUUGUGUAUGUGUUUGUUCCUCUCUCAAACGCACAAUUUGUAAGUGAUUGAAUGUGGGCCUUGUGGGAUGAUGACUCCUAGAUUUUAAAUUCGAAGAACUGGGAGUUUGGUGAGACCAAACGUGAAUUAGGGAACACAGGAGAGAUAUUUUGGACAGACUAUAUGAAAAAGUAUCUUGUUCUGUUUUAGAUGUGAAUGGGUAGCUUCAGAAAAUGUAUGUACAACAUGACAUUGGAAAUGUGGGUCAAGGACUAGGGAGUCAUUUGUAUCAACCUGUCUCCUUUUUCUCCUUGAUAUUCUCAGAGGGCAAGGGAACCCUGGUGCUAAGGUCUGUGAGAUUGGCCCCCUGGGCAAGGGCAGAGUGGAAAAGGGCAGUGGGUCCAUUUGGAGGGGCAGACAAAUGUGCCAGCAUGCCCUGGUGGGAGUAAGCUUCAUGAAAGCAGUGGCUUUGUUUUGCUGGCUCAUGAUUGGGUCACUGUGUCCAUAACAAAGUCUUGUGUUUGAAUGAGUGAAUCAGUCAUUCAUUUCAAAAGCAUUAGAAGAACUCUUUGGAGUGAGUGAGAUGGCCAUGGGAGAAGAGAAGGGGCUUAGGGGCAGAAACGUGGUGGAUUCUUAGAUUUAGAUGUGACCAGAGGUUGAGGAUAAAUAGAGGCUGAGAAAGAAUGGGCAGAGUGGUAAGCAAAUAAGAAUAUACAGCGGGAUGCAGAGUGUGGGGAUGGGGCAUUAGUCGUAAUGCUGCCAAGAGAUAAAGUAGACAGAAGACUAAGGAAAAGGAAUUGGUUUUGUCAGUUUGACAGUGAGUUGAGAGAAUAAAGGCAUAGAGAUAGGAUAGAUGAUUCUUUUAGAAAUUCUGAUGAUAUAUGCAGAUCACUGGUGGAAAUGAUUGAUCAAGUUGAAGUUAAGAAACAAAAUCAGGGGGCCUGGUGGGCUGUGUGUGUAUAAAUUACCUAUUGGUGCUGUAACAAAUGACCAUAAACGUAAGUAAGUGUCUUAAAAUUGUUCACCUUAAAAAUAGUACAGCUUUAUUAUUUCAGAAGGGUGUGGCUAAGGCUGCAGCCUCAGGGCUCCAUGGGCUUCAGCAUCGGGGUACCCUUGCCUCUGAAAGCUGCUGUCAUGGGAAAGCUCAGCUGGGGAGGGAUUCACUGCUUUGUGGGCUAUUGGACUAAGGCCUUGGCUUCUCUGGCUGCAGGCCAGAGGUCACCCUCAGUUCCUGUGGGCCUCUCCCACAUCGCUGCUUCUCACAGAGCCAUUGAGGGAGAGUCAGCUAGUUAGAUAGAAGUCAUAGUCUGUGCUGUCCAGUCACAGAAGUGACAGCCCCAUAUUGCUGUAGCUCUUGUGAGCUGGUGAGAAGCAAUCUCCAGACCCAGCCACCCUCAAGGGGUAGAGGACUGCACAGAGGCAAUAUCCUCACAAGGUGGGGAUCGUGAUAGGUACAUCAUGAAGUUUGUCCACCACAAUAGGAAGGGACGAUGGGACCAGGAGGCAUUAGGGCAGUUCUUCAGAUGGAGGUCCUAUGGGAUGCAGAUGGAAGGAUGAGAGUUCUCAUCUCAUGAGGGAAGAUUUGGAAGUGAAGUUUCAGGGAAAAGUUAAACUGUGUCAUGUGGUUGACCCUUCACUGGCAGCCUUCUGCCCUCUACCUUCAUCCCCAAACAAGGGCACAGUUGCCUUUUGUGACUUCCUCCUUUAGACAAAUUAACACAGUAUCUUAUAACUGCCAUUAAUAAACCCAUCUAUUUUGUUAAAGUAGAAUUAGUCACCAGAAGGUUCCUGGCCUUUCAAAGUGUCUGCCCUGCUUUUGUUGAAGAUGAAAUGAGGUGAUCCAUAUGGAAGUAUUUUUUGUAAAGUGACAUGCAAAUAAAGGAUAUUAAACUGUAUCUCUCCCUAUAUAUGACAGGUAGUUUACGUAAAAUCUAACUUACAUUUUCCUUGUUAACUUGGGUUCAUUGUGUUGUAUAUUAAGUUACUGAAUUGGGCUUUACUUAAUACUGUGAUACUUUGGGGGCCUUUUGAGUGGAGUAUUUGCUUUUAUGACAAACAGUCCCAGACUGCUAGCACCUUUCAAGUCCUUGUGUCCUUUUUUUUUUAAAAAAAAAAAUAUAUAUUUUAAUUGUAGGUGGACACAAUACCUUUAUUUAUCUUUAUGAGGUGCUGAAGAUCGAACCCAGGGCCUCUCACAUGUGAGAGGAACACUCUACCACUGAGCCACAACCCCAGCCCUCCUUGUGUCCUUUUUAAUGUUUAAAUAGAAAGUCUCUCCUUGCUGUCCCUUGUCAUUCUUUUGUGUUUGCCUAUGUGUCAAUUGUUAGCUAUCUUCCUCUUCUGAUUUCUUUCCUCUGAUCUCUGGGCUUGGCAGCCUGAUAAUUAAGCUUGUUAGAAUUGUGAGCAGUGUAGUAGUAACCAAACUAGGAACGUGGGUUGGAGCUCUUAUUCUCAGGACAGUGGGUGAGCUGAUGUGCGUGGACUUUGUGACAACCUCUUCUGGCCUUUGGAAUAUGUCUUGGCUUCCUUCCUGGUCCUGGCUGUGCAGACUGAGCGAGACUCCCACAUAGCUGUGUUCCAUUCAGGGGGAGCACGGCUGCCAUCUUCUUGGCAUAGACCCAUUGCUCUGCUGUGAGGAACAGUGUCAGUUCUCUCCUUUGAUGAGAUUCUGAUGUUGUGGGCAGAAGUGGUAGGUGAUAGUUGGUCUGGUGCAUGGAACAGAAACUAUUUGGGAAGCACAGAAAUCUUGAGACAAGAUCAUCAGCUGGGCCUGUACAGCAGGCUCUGUUCCCAAGCCCCUUACCUUUAGGGCGCCCACUGCCCAGCUUAGCUUACUGCGUGCUGCACUCUUUUCCUCCAUGUGUUCAUUGCUUUGGCUUUCUGUCAGAGCUGCCUGUUUCUUUUCUCUGCCCUAAAUUUUGGAUGCUUUCUUUGUGGAGGAGCAUUCCUGUCUUCUGAGGGAGUGAGCUGUGUUCUUGUAGAAACAGUCCCUGAUGGUGUGGGGAGCCAGGUCUGGAGACCUGUUCCUUCCUGGCUUGCUGCCCUGGCCAAGUGCCCCAGCUGUGCCUUGGCAUCCCCCUUUCUGGAAUAGGUUUAAUGUCUUUUUCCACCUUUUAGGAUGAAAAUUAGAUUUUAUAUUUGAAAAUGCUUUAUGUGUAUAUAAUUUAGAUAGAGGCCUAAUUUGUGGGGUUGAUUCUGCUGAUAUUUGAUUCUCUAUUUCUGAGGUAUUAAAAAUAUUGUUGUUAUUAGUACUAGUAACGAUAAGUCUUGCUAAAACAAUGUAAUUUAAAAUCUUGAAUAGUUUUUUUUUCAAUAGUUUUUUUUCCUGAAUAUGUUCUAUUGGAAUAUGUGUAUUUGUAUAAAUGGGGACAUUUAUUAAGUGCUCUUUUAUUAUUUUCAGACUGUUGAGUAUACUGGCUUCCUGACCAAAUUCAAUUUAUGAGAAUUCUAAUGAGAUUGUGAUUCAUAUCUGGAAAGAUUUUUUUAAAAAAAUUCUGAAAUAACUUUAAAUACACUUUACAUGAACAUCUGGUAGUAGUGAAUCAAUUGAUUUGAUUUCUCAGACAGUAAAUCAUGCUGCUGUAUUCUAGAACUAGUUCCUAUGAGCUUAAACUGGCAGCUGCUCUGUGGUCUGUUCUAGUUACUUGUUUGCUUUUGGACUCGAAUCUAGGUGUGGAACUCAGUUUAAAAGCCCAAAAUGGCCCCAGUUUCUUAGAGGUUCCCAUUUCACUAUUUAAUUUUGCCCACCCCAGGAGGAGGUAGCACUACCUACUGGACCUGGACCUUAUCCUUUUAAUGUAUGUGUCUUGCCUUCAUUUUGACUUUAUCCCACAGGAGUGUUGUGAGGUUAUUAUGGUAUGGCAGCACUUUUGGAAAGAUAAUGAGUACAAAAUAUUUUUGUAUUGUACUAGGUAUAUAUAUAUAUAUUCCCAUUGACCUUUUGUGAUUCAGGAAAAGGAUAAAGCUGCUUAGGGGUACUUGUUGGUUAUUCUGUUUCAGAUGUUAUUAACCCAGUUUUAUGGAGUAUCCCCAAAGCAUGUCUUUUGACAGAUCUUGUGCUGUUGUAUUUAGCAGGUGUGUGCCCAAUCAAGAAGUUUUAUAUUAGUCAUUAGUAUCUUGAACACUAUUGCCUAUCCCCCAUUUCAGUUUCCUUAACUGGGUCUAAAAUAGCUUUGGUCCUAUUCCCUUAUUUCCUGAAUAAGAAAAGGGAUCUUGUUGUUCUUUUUAAAGAAAAAAAAAAAGUUAUAGCAUGACUAAACCAAGACUUCUUCUUGCUGUCAGUCAUUUGCUCCUGUCUCUGUGGCAGGAACACUUAGGCUCAGCACCUCAGAACUGUUGUCCAGGGUACCAGAGCUAGGAGGCAACUCGGGUAGUGUUAGUUGAGGGAGAGCAGUGCCUAAAGAAAAAAGGAGACCUUUGGUAAAGCCCAAGGCUGGGAUGGGGUUACUGUUUCAUAAGUUCAACAAACAUUUGAGCUCCUGUUAUAUGCCAGAUGUUGAAUUAAGUACUGGAGACACUGGGAUGAACAAGCCAGACAUGCCUUCAGGAUGCCCUUGGUAGAGUCUGAUUUUGAGUUUGUUAGAAAAAGAUUUAUCAUAGAUCAAAAACUAGAUGCUGAAUGGCCUUGGGAGUUAAGGUGGAGUUGUAGGUUGGCACUCAACAUUUCUGGAAGGAGUGACUUUUCUGUAAGUAAAAGACAGUUUACAAAUGGCAGUGGGUAGAGACUGCUAGCUGGUCCCCAAACCUACUUCCUCUUCCUAGGCAUUUCCGAGCAUCCCUUGCAUUAGGUGUGGCUUUGUGGCCCAAUUCUCUUCAGUGGAGUGAGAGCAGAGAAGUGUGCCACUUCCAGGCCUAUUUCCAGAGUCUUUGUGCACAGGUUUGUGCCUUUUUCUCAUCUGGCUCAGUGCAGAGGAGUCAUGGAUCUAGAAAGUCCCCUAGCAACUCAGAUGCCAGAGCCACUGCUUAGAGGAGAGCUGUCUGCUGAUUGGGGACAUCUGUUUUGGACUUCACACAGGCUAGAACUAAAUAUUUAUGGUAUUUGCACCAUCAUACAGUUUGUUCUAGAGUUAGGCUGCCUGACUAAUGUAGACACCACUCCUAGAAUGCUGCCUAAGGCUGGUGAGUUUACUAAAGGGGUGAAGGAUUUCCGAUUCUGCCUUGAUUAUUUGUAUGUAAUGCUAUGUGCAGUGGCUGUGCACUUCAUGAAUCAAUCUAAGUCAGGAUAGAGUGACAAAAAAUGUUUAAUGCAUCACUUGUAAUUGGUACAGUGGUUUAUUGCACUCAGUAUGGCCUCUCUCUGUCUUUGAUUUAAUAAGCUAUGUGGAUUCUUAGUUAGCUUUAAAGGUACUCUGUGGAGACUUAAACAUCCUCAGACCUUAUUUCAAAGAACUGUAAAUACAGUUUUCAUCAUGAUACUUCUUCUAUUCCAAAGACUGUUAUCACUUCUUAUUAUAUAGCGUUUUGUUUUAGUAAUUCAUCAUCCAAAAACUAUGUACAUAUGUAAUGAAAGUGCCUGAGUGUAACAUCCUGACCUGAAGAGAGACAAAAUGAGUAAAACAUAGCCCCUGCUUCAAAGAGUUUGUCCUUAGCAUAUUAACAGUUACUUCAUUUCCACACUGCCACCAUCUGCCCCUCAUUUUAGCCUUUAAUGUGCCAUGCAUUAUUUUUUCAUUACUCCAUUUUCAUUGUUGUCUCCUCCACUAGAUAGUGUACUUUCUGAAAGCUGGAAAUAUAGUUUUUAGUGUUCUGCAUCUCCCUUUGGGUACUUCUAGCAGAUACUGGGUGCUAUACUUAAUUGAGUUAACUAUUUCUAUGGUAUUUCUUAAUUUAUCUUGCUUGGAUAUUUUAGUGUAGUUUUGUAUUAUAGUCUGUAUUAGCAGACAAAAGUACUUUUUAACCUAUUGAAAAUUCAUAGAAUUAUGCAGUUAAGGAAUGUCAGGACUGGAAGGAUCUUUUUUUAGACCAUUUAUCUAAUUCCUGAUUUUUUAGGUUGAUCAUCUGGUUCCUGAUACUCAAGGUGUGUCCAUGAAUCACGGCAUCGGCAUCACCUGGGGCUUUUUAGAGACAGACUCUCAGGCCCCACACAGACCUGUGAAUCAGAACCCGCAUUUAAACAGGAUCCUCAGAUGACCUGCAUGCACAUAAAGUUGGAGAAGCCCUGCUCAAGUCAACCUCCCAUUUGACUCUUGAGAAAACCAGGAAAGUCAUAGUUGCCCAGAGCCACACAACUGUUUAUUUCACAUCUUGGGAUCACUUGGGAACUAUUAAUGCUGGGGUCCACUCCCCAGACAUUCUGCCCUAACUGGUCAGGAUUGCAGUCUGGGCAUCAGAAUUAAAAAAAAAAAAAAAAAAAAAAAAUCUCCCUAGAUGACUGGCUGAGGCUGAGAAUUGUUGAUUUGUUUAAUGAUGAAAUUCAGGUUUCUUGAUAUUCUAAUCAAGCAUUUCCUUUACCCCACCAUGGAUAUACAUUUAGGAACAACAAAAAAAGUUCCACUGAGUUCUCAUAGUAGCACAUCACUCUUCUGUUUCCUUUGUAACAUUUAUCCCUAUUAGAAAGUAUCCCACUUACUGUCUGCCUUGCUCCUCUGACAUGCAUCUAUGGUGGGCAGGCCCCUUGCUUGUCUUGUUGACUGCUGGAUCCCAGUUCCCAGAACAGUGUCUGGCAUGUGGCAGGUUCUCCUUUCAUAAUUUUAGACCAAAUGGAAGGAAUUAUAAUAAGGAGAGAAACACAGGCUGCUUUAGAGGCACUCAGAGGGCUGCCUAGCCUUGCCGCUAGAGGCUUUCUGAUGGACUAAUGCAUGGGCCAGUGCAAGACUUGGCCAAGUAGAGCCCAGGACUUCCACAGAUGAGGGAGGGUGCAAGCCCACAUCUCUCUGACUUGAAAGCUUGUGCCUUUCCAGUCUGCCCUGUUGUCCUGAGAGGCUGGUUUGCCUGGACUUCUCCACAGUGAACUGGGGAACUGGGAUGGACCACUUCAGCUCUACAGAUACUUGGGGCUGCCUCCUCCCUCUGUGGCUGAGUUACCACAGUAUUACAGACAGGCAUCUAGUGACAGCGAUGCUCAGUUUGUGGUCCUGUGCAAGACCCUCACUCACUGCUCAGCACAGGAGAUCUUCUUCAAAAGCAGCCAUUCCCUUUCCACUUUUCUUGUGCUUUGGCUAAUGUGUUGUGAGAGCCUGGAGGUUUUGAGGUUAGGAUGACUUACUAGAUUUUACUCUCAACUUAUGUGAGUUGCUUUCCUAGUUAAAUUAACUGUUAAACUUUAUUAUACCACUGCUAUAAGAAAGCAUGCUUGAUUUUGUCCACGAUAUUUUUGUUAUAGAUACUAUUUUCAUGCUUACUUUUUCCUGUUUGUUAUUUGGAACAUUUUACCACUGAUUUACUUGUCAUCAGACUUUGAAUUUGGGUAUGAAGAUCCUUUUUUUAUGAAGCUGUUCAUUAGCGUGUCUCACUGAGCAUAAAUUUUGACUGGGACCAUGGUUAAGAUAUCUUGAAAAAUGCUUCAUCUUUUGCUGUCUGCUUUUGGUAAUAGGAUAUCAGAAAAUAUCUUCUUGAAUAUAAGAUUUUUUUUAAACACCAUAAAACUUUUGUUUUUGGUACUGGGGAUCGAACCCAGGGGCACUUAGCAACUGAGCUAUAUCUCUAGCCCUUUUUAAUUUUUAUUUUGAGACAGGAUCUUGCUAAGUUGCUGAGGCUGGUCUCAAACUUGCAACCCUCCUGCCUCAUCCUCUGGAGUGAGUCACUGGGAUUACAGGGAUUACACACACUUGGCCUAGCACCAUAAACUAAAAGUUUCAGUUUAGAAUCUGUAUGAGUAUGAGAAUGUUGCCUUUGUGUUGCAGUGGGCUGUUGGAGACUGUAGAUGUCGGAGGAAGGCAAGUUCUGCUGAUGUCACAUCAGCCUCUUUGCAUGCUAUCAUCCCAUUCUCUGAGGGUAGUCCAUAGUUCAGAGGGAGGAUCCUUGGAUCCAGAUGCUUUCCCAGGUAUCAUGGGCUGAACUCAGGGGUGCUUUACCACCGAACUACAUCCCCAGCCCUUUUAAAAAAUAUUUUAUUUAGGGAUGGGGUCUCACUGAGUUGCUUAGGGCCUUGAUAAGUUGCUGAGGCUGGCUUUGAACUCCCGAUCCUCCUGCCUCUGUCUCCCAAACCACUAGGAUUACAAGCGUGCACAGUGUGCUCAGCCCCAGGUUGUUAAUUCACAUAUUACUAUAGGUAGCCACUGCUGAUGAACUCAAAGAGAGACAGUUAAAAGCCUAAGAACAAGAAUUUUUCCAGAAACAGAAAAGAAUUAAGGAGUUGAUGGUUAUCCUGGUAGCUUGAAGGCAUUUUAUGGAGAAGGAUUUAUUAUAUGGACCCUGAAAAUAAUUUGACUUCUGAAGCACUUGACUAUGGAUGCAAGGGAGAGGAAAAUUAAAAAUUCAUGGAAGUCAAGUUUAGUCAGGUUUUAACAUUCUUUUUGGCAUAAAAAAUUCAGGCUAUCCUCACUUUGUUCUUAGAAAAUGUAGAUUGUUGAAGAGUGUCCUUAUUAACAUAGUAACAAUCACUUAUUUUAUUUGUUAGGUCUUUUUGAAUUUAAAGUACUUUGGAAUGUAUUAUUCCAUUUACUUCCCCCUCCUGCCCUGUAAGACAAGAGUGGUCUCUUGUCUUUUUUUUUUGAUGAGGAAAUACAGAGAGAGGUUCAGUUACUUUCCCAAGGACAGCUAGCAAGUGAUAGAACUGAACUCUUCAUAGUUGAAAUAAGAAAUGUUAAGGGUGGUUGCUGAACUUGUAAACAAUCUUUGGUUUUCUAAGUAUACAAAUGGAUAGUUUAUAAUGUAGGAUGCAUAAUCUAAAAUUUUACAUAAUACCACAACCAAACAAAAAAGUUAUUAGGACUGAAAAUAAUUGGCUGGCAAGACCCAAAGAAAAAAAAUUUAAGUUACCCUUGUGUAGAUUUUAAUAUGAAAACUCUAUAGUUUUAUCUGACUGAAGCAGCCUGAGAGCAAAGACUCUGUCUUCCGACUUCCUCCUGAUUGUUCCAGCCUCUAUACUGCUGGUUGGCACUGAGAUUCUUUUGUAUGAGUUGGGUGUUGGGCAUAUUGCUGGGAAAUGGUUAAUAAUGUUGAUAUUGAUUGACUGCAAAAUGAAUAUAACAUUGGUUCUUAGUAAAAAUUUACUCUAUGUACUGCACAUAUGUGUCCCAUUUAAAAAAGUAACAAAAAUAAUGAAUGUUCACUAGCAGGGUUCUUUUUCUCACACACAAAUCUUAGGUAGUUGUUUGUGGUGUUGGGGAUUCAUGCAUGCUAGGCAAGCGCUUUGCCACUGAGCUGCAUCCCCAGCCCUUAUUAUUUUACUUCGAAACAGGACCUUACCAAGUUGUCCAGGCUGGUUUUGAGCUUAAGAUCCUCCUGCUUCAGCCUCCUGAGUUGCUGGGAUUACAGGCAUGUGUCACUGCACCUGGCUGUAUCUUAAGUUUUGCAACCAUCAUAUGCCUGCAGUGAAAAGAACUUUUUCCCGAAAUUUGUGAAUAAAUUGAUAAUUUUGUCAUUCUCAAAUACUUUGUUAUGUAUUUUUUAAAAACAAGAACAUUACUAUAAUAUAUUAAUCACAAUUGGGAAAUUAAUAUUGAGACAUCUCUACCUCUAAUCCUCAAAUUCUAUUUCAGUUUUGCCUGUUGACCCAGCAGUGACCUUUGUUUAAAAAAAAAAUGUGUAAUCUGAACCUUGGGAUACAUUCUGUUGUCUCUUCAGUCUUAUUUAAUACAGAACAGUUCUCAGUCCUUUUUGACUUUCUUGACCUUGACCCUAUUGAAGAUUGCAGGCCAGUCAUUUUGUGGAAUGUUCUUCAUUUUGGAUUUGUCUGAUGUUUCCUGAUGAUUAGAUUCAGGUUUUGCAUCUUUGUCAGGAAUAUCACAGAAGAGCCAGAAUAUAUCUUUUUCAAAGAUUAGUUUUACAUUUUAUUUUCUGUUUCCUUAGAGCGUUUCCCAAAGUGUAUUCUGCGGAACUAGCACCUACUGUGUUCUCAACACCGUGCCACCUAUAGAAGGUAGGAUUUGAAAAAGCUUUUGACUUAACAGGAAGGGGUGGGCUUGGCAGUGAGAGUGACUCCUCUGUCAGUGUAGUGAAUCAGCUUUUGACCAGGACUUAGAAGGCCUGGAUUCUGCCUUUUAACUGCUGUGUGAUCUUAGAUGAGUUACUUAAUCCUUCUGGGGUCGCAGAAAGAACUCUCUCCUCAUAAAGUUACUGAGGAUUCACGAAGCAAUGGAUUCAGUCACACAGGAAAGCCAAAGCACUCUGCAGAUGUUGGAUAUUAAUAGAACAGUUGUGUAAUACUAGAGUCCUAUACCAAGUAGUUUAGAGUAGGAAUAGUGUGACAAUGUGGGAGAAGCCACAGGUCAUGUUUGAUCCCAGUUGAGCCACUUGUAUCUGUGGAUCCUGGACAAUGAAUCUCAACCUCAGGUUCCUCAUCUGUAAAGUGGGAGUAAUGAAGCUUUUCUAUUUUAUCAGAGGAUUAACUGAGAAAGUCCAAUGUAAAGUACUUUCUGGGUGCUUCAUGUAUUAGAGUCCCACAAAUGCUUAUCUCCAGUCAGUAAUAGAAAAUAGAUUUACUUGAUCACAUGUAACUAAAGUUGGAAUUGUAUGGAAUAAAGCAGGAUAGGGUACUCUCAAACCCAAAUUGAAGUCAUGGAUUGAAGGGCUUCUGUGCCUGUACUUUUACCUGCCCCAUUCACAUAUUUUUAGAUUGAAAAUGUAAAUGCAGAAUAGAAGUUUAUCAAACCUGAGUUAUGAGUCCACCCAAACCUGGACUAGAGAUUUAGUAACAUGAUUGACAGGAUAAAGGUAAAUCUGGGCCAUCUAAAAAUAGGAAGGAGGAGAAAGGUUAUUAAAGAGCAAAACUAGUUAAUGUUUUUUUACUUAAAAAAAUUAUUUUUUUUUACCCUUUUAAAAAUCUUUUCUGUAAUUAUAAUUGGGCUUAAUACAUUGUGGAGACUUGCAUUGGAAAAGAAUAAUGCAAAAUCUGAUCAAUGCUUGGCACAUAGUCAGUGCUUAAUUAAUAUUUAUUUUGGAUGAAUAGUGCUUUGAAGGUCUGAGGUUAGUCAGGACAAUGCUGGCUGCUGUGAGCACUGUGCUGACUUGGAUGUAACAAUAUGUGCUUAUGUUUUCCUGAAUCAGUUCCUCUCCUACUCAUUAAAUCUCAGCACAUAAUAAUUAGAGCUAAACAGAAAAUUGUAGAGCUUCCUUUUAAUUUUACCACUCCAAGUUGUUGAUCAAAUAUAUUCCCAAUAAGAUUUAGCAAUUGGAUACACUGUUAUAUCAACUUAUUUUGAACAGUUUGGUCUAGAGGUUGAGAGAUUAAUCAUAAUCAACUUGAUUGAAUAACAGUCUUCAUCGUUGUAGAACUCAUUAUUUAAUUUUUAUUAAUUAUAAAUCAAAACGAUGUAUAAUUUCUAGUUUAGAGUUAAUAUAGUUUCAGUUUACCUUGCAGAAGGCACAGCCUGUCCCAAGGAACAUGUCAAAUACAUUUCUUUGGAUUUAAAUAAAGGAUUUGGCAAUCUGAAUCAGAAUUUUUGGAAACAAAACUGAAAGCAAGUGUUCUACUUUUUUCUUGUUAACUAAGUGAAUGAGCAUUUUUAUACAUUUUAGAAAGAUUUAGUUAAAUUAUAGUAUGCCUCUAAAAUUAUCAUUUGGAAAAUAUUUGAAGGUUGACUAGAAAGAAUGGUUCAUUCUCUAGAAUUAUAGCUGUCAGCCAGAUAAAUCAUCUGUCAAUUUUAAGAGCUUCACUAGUUAUGUUUUUAUUGUGAAGUAGGUUAGAAAAUUAUUUUGUAGAGUCAUAUAUCAUACGUGCAUAUUUUGUUAGAUGACAAUAGUGAAAUGUUUCACUGACAUUUGGUUGACACUCCCACCUUGCAGGGUUAGGGUUUGACUAUUUGGAUUGAAGACUGAGAUGCAGUUGAAACCAGCAUAUACCUUAAUUUUAUUAAGAUACUGUUAUUAGGAUUUAAAAACUGGCAUGUUAUUAAUCAUUUAUAGCUAGUCUAAAAACAUUACACAGUAGCUUUUAAUUAAAAACACAUUUUCAUGCAGUAUUGCCAUGUGAACAGUUCCUUGCCAGUGUAAAAGCAGUUUUUCUUUAUUACUCUUUAACCAGAAACACCAAAAAUUUAAGACAUGAGUUUUAACAUUUUUGCCUUUUUGAGUUCUUAAUACUUUCUUUUCCCCAGUAGUGAAAUCACCAUAUUCAUAAUGCAUAGUGGGAAAAUUUACCCAACGUUGUGUUUCUUUAAAAACAUCCAGUUUACAUUAGUAUGAGCCUAAGUCCUGGAAAUGGUAGAGUUUAGAAGCUGAUUAAGGGGAACCUGACGGCUGGUCAUGGUCUUAUUCAUUUUUAGGCCCUGGCUGCACAUCCCUUGAGUGCUGGAUGAGGAAGCCUGGUUGAGAUGGCACUUACAGAGCUGUUCUGCUUUUUCUUCUUUAAAAGCCUCUGGGCUGAAUCACCACAGCCUGAUUUGGUAUCAUAGUGGAGGACUGAAGCUUUUCCUGUAACAGCCAGUUGUGGUGUCAAGAAAACACACACACACACACACACACACACACACAGUAUUUACCAUGGGUAACUAGGUUCCUUAUAGAGGCUAAAAGGACAGAAAAUAGAAAACAUACCAGGUUGUGACCACAAACUCUGAGCCAGAAGCUAAGGUACACUCCUCUGCUCUGAACAUCACUGUUUUUCAGAACUCUUUAACAGCUAGCUUUCUCAGAGACAAGACUGUUCAUAUGCAGUGCAGUGUAAGCCCAUCUGUCAAGCACCUAGCACAGUGCUAUUUUCAGAAAAGGUACCCUGUAAAUAUUGACUAUUUGAAUUGAGUGUAGAUUUUAGAAUUUUAUCUCUAUUCCCCAAACCGUAUACAUCGUCAUGGUGAUUUUUUUAGAAAUGAGAAUAAAACCACUUUAGGGGCUGAGAGAAGGGAGGUGAAGACUCCUGUGAUUUGGUCUUCUGUGCUUUAAAGUUUUAUGGCCCAUGGUACCUCCCUCUGGAGGACGAAGUGCAGGGAGCAUGCAUAAGCACAUAAAAUUACAAAGGUUUUAUAGUGUGUAAUUAAUACAGAACUUUCUAUGAACUUUCUCCUAGUUAACAGUUUCCUUUUGAUUUCUAAGUAAGACUUUUUGAAAGUUUAAUCUUAUUUUGCUAUUAAAUUAAAACUUUAGAUUCUUAAAAGCAAUCAAUUUUUAAGUUUUUUGAGUUUUUAUCCUGUUAUAGAAAUAUAUGAUGGCAUUAUAAUUCAAUUGGUUAUGUAGUUUAUGGACCAAAAAAGAUUUAGUACGAUAAAACUCUCUUAAGUUCAUCCCUAUAAAAUAUUCCAUAUGAUGUAGUAAAUUUUUUUAGACUAUUUCUAUGCCCAAUAUUUUCCUUUUAAGAUCUUUUCCGUGAAAAGAAAUGUGUUAAUCAGAUGAGAAAUGUUUGGAGAGAGUUUUCUGAGCUUAAAUAUUUUAAAAUUCUUUUAUGUUUUUGCACGUUCAAAAAUAGGCUGUGCUAAACAAAAUUACUGUGAAUAACAUCUUUUUAUAACAUAAAAUGAAGAUUGUAGUAAUUGAUUACGGAUAUAUGGAUACAUUCCGACGACUUAAGAAUUCUACAAUAACUUGUUAUCAUUUAAAAUCUCUCUAAACACGGAUUUCGUCUUAAUCUUUUAGAGAUUAAGAGAUUACUAAACCCUUUUGACUUUUAUAAUUCAUUGAAUGGGUUCCAGUGUGUUAACCUUUUAUCGUCUUGACCCGGUCUUAGAACCAGAGAAAUUCAGACUUAAAUCACAAAGACAACAUGGAAUAAUUAUAGUCUUUUUCAACUAUGUCAACAGAAUGACCUCGUUUAAAUCAGGAAUUACAAAGUCACACGACAAAGAAUUAUGGAUCAAUAAGUAAUGUGGGACACCAAUAUAAAACCCCCUUAAAUAAAUCGGGAUUCUUUUUAACCUCACCCAUUAACCUUUGCAACUGGAUUCACACGGUGUUGACGAUUCCUCAAAACUUGGUCCGUUUCCCUGAUACAAUAUCCUAAGUUUAUUAUUUACUAUACGUUUAUUUACCGACUUUAUUUACAAUAUAUAUAUAAAAUCUUCCGUAGAACAUCUGACUAAUAUCCAACAGGGUGAAUUGUAGAUCAGAUUUUCAUUAAUUAAAAAUUUUUAAGUAAAGUUUCUCAAUGUAAAACUACUUUAUAUAAGACAUCUAUACACGUACAUAUAGUUCAAUUAGUUUCACUCUAAAAAGUUAAGUUCUAUCUUUCCAAUCGACGUCUAAAUUGAAGGACCAUAAAUAUUCUAAACACUGAACCAAAACUUUCCUACUUAGUGUAAACAUAAGUUUCCCUGUUUCACCAUAAUCAAUUAUUUUAUGAGUACAUAAUAAUAUUAAAAAGAAUGGAUUUUUAAAAAUUCGAAAAAGUUCACCAAUUAUUUUCUAAAAAUCCAAAACGGUCCAAUUUAGUAAAACAUUAAUACUACACGAAGUACCUUUGUGCCCCCCUUUUUUUGGUAAUUUUCAUUGUAAGAUAAAUACCGUCGACGACCCUAUAAGGAACAAGGAAACGAACACUACCUCGUUUCGAGGUAGGACAAAAUCUUGGAACACCGGUCGAUGGACGACGGUAGGUAGACUAGUCCAACAUCUACUCACAACGAUUCUCCUUAUCACCGGGAGACGACGAGAACCAGAAUGUCACUGGUUCGACUCGACGACAAAGACUGGAACGGUCAAAUGAAUUACCCUCCGAAAAGAGAAUAAAACAGACUUAAAUAACAAAAGAAGAAAUAUCUACUAGUACCCUUGUCGUUAUCAUCAGUACAUUUUUAGAAAAAUGGCUUUUUCGACGAACUUACAGACGGCUUUACAAGUUCAAAUGGUUUUCUCUCCGUGGCAACCUUGUGAUUACUCCAUCUAUUUAAAGAUAAAAAUUCCUAUAUUAAUGAAAUUCCUGUUUAAAAAAUCCAACAAAACGAAUCGUGAUGAAAUAUAAUACAAUUUAAACUUUAUACCUUGAUCCUUCAAUAGUUACUCUUCUUAUAAAUUAGACCUAAACUGUUUUUGGUUGAACACAGAACUCGAGAGAAACUAGACGAACCGAACAUAACUUUGUACAUUUUACACGUGCGACUGAAUUGAUUCCAUCGUACUUAAAGACACAAACAUAAAAGAACGGAAAACCACGGAACGAAAACCACCAAUUGGGACGGGUGUAAAGUCAAUUUGUAAUCAUGACCGAACAGUAUUUGAUUAUUUAUACGUCACAAUUACAAAGUGUCUUUUAUGUCGUAAAACUGUUACACUUCAAAACGAUUUUAACCCUUCCUCGUUUCCUCGAAAUCAUAAGAGACUAAUUGAAAGUUUGCUUGGAGCAUUAAGACUUUACCUCAACGAUGGGCAUUUCUACUGAGAAUGGAGGCUGUGUGCAGUAGCAUCCAAAUGGAGGGCAGAUUGAUGAAAGUUUAAUUUCUUGGGCAAAGUGACUGCUUGUAGUAAAUUUUAAUCUGUGAGUUGUAGUAUUAGGAGUGCAUUGCUUUGUCAUCUUUUUAAACUUUGAAAUCUGAAUACUUUUGUUUAGGGUUAUAGCCAUUAAUGUGGUGACAAGAAUUGGGUAUGUGUCCAUUUUCAGUGUAGAAUAAUAUUCAUGUAGUGUGGUUAUAGGGAAUCAUUUUGUGAAUUAUAUUCCUGUAGUUCUGAUGGCUGAGGUUACUGUUUUGCUGAGUGACAAUAUGAAUGUUCUAAAUCCAUUGGUCUGAAUACGUUGGUGUUGCUGGCUCAACAUUUACUUCAAGUUAGGUUAAAGUUAGUGUAUUGGCCUUGAUUGGCACUCAGGUUUGUCAGGGCCCAAGAAGAAAACAGUGCUGUCUGAUGAGCCUUGAUUUUUGAAAGUUCUUGACUCAAUACUUUUGUUUCAAGUUGUGGGAGGUUCCAGGGAUGAAAGUACCUUUCCUUAUCAUAAGUUACAGAUUUAAAUACUUUCUAUUAUUUCCUUGUCUCAUCUGAUUUCAGAUCUCUCUUAAAGUAUGUACAUUUUUGAUUAUUUGUAUAAAUGGAAUUUUUCACCUGGGUAGGAUCCUUUUGUUUUGACAAACAUUAGCUAGCUUAGAGGCCGAAGGUUUUAACCAGUUACAUAUUAACUAUUUCGAACAUUUCAGAUAUAAAAAUGAAGUAUGCUGAAAAUUAGUCUUAAUCAUGUAUUGUAACUCUUAUCAGCAACAUGAUAUAAUUUGGAAGGCAUUCAUUAACUCUGUACUAGGUUAUGGAUUAUUUAAAAAUUCGGUAUGUUUCUUAGUAUUCCCUGGAACAUGUAUUGAUACAAUAUUAUUAUAUAUUAUUCCAGUUUUAAGUGUAAAAAAACUUACAAUAGGUAUAGGUAUGUUCUUUCUCUCUCCCUCUCUUCUUUUUUUUCUUUUUUGGCACUGGGAAUUGAACAUAGGGGGCUACAACUGAGCUAUAUCCCCAGUCUCUUUUUAAAAAAUGUUUUGAACAGGCUUGUGUUAAGUUACUGUUGGAUUAAGUUAAGUAGGUGUUUUUCAAUGUUAUAUUUCAAAUAAAAUUGGCAAUGUAAUUAUGGUUUAAAUUUAUAUUUAAAGCUAAAAAUUACCCAAUGAUUAAAAUUGGUGACUUUAAGAGUCUUAUUAAAGUGGGUAUAGCAUUGUCAGAAAUUUACUUGGUAGAUUAUUUAGAUUGGUAGUUUCAAAACUUUUUUUUGAAACUUUUAGCAAUGUCCUUCAUCUUUCAUAAGUUUACCUCUAAAUUAUUGACAUGCUUCAGUUUAUUAAUUGUUAGGUAUGGUGUAAAACAUCCAUAAAGAACUUUCAUAGAGGAUACAAUGAAAAGAUCAUGAGGAAGUCAAUCUUCCAGGACCCAAUAUAUGUAUUCCUCUAUACCAUGGGUUGCUAUAGUCCAAGUUCCAGAGAGGAAAUGCAUCCCUCUUGCUGACUGAUGGAAUGUAAAAUUGGGGUUAUGGAUAAGAAAAGGUGAUUCUCUUUGGCAGGUAUUGCUGCUACAGAAGCACAAAGAAGUGUGUUCCCAAGGUUGAUGGCAGCAGAAGGUGGCACAGCUGAGGAGGGCAGUCACAUAGUGUCCUUGGCCCUUGUGAUAGCUUGAUCCUGCAGUAGUUUGUUAGCGCAACACUGGCAAAACUCUUAGGAGAAAACUGAAUUGAUAGGUAAAAGACCUUGGUGUGUUUUUCCUAUUUAAUUCUUGGCUUCAGGAAAAAUAGAGGAAUAUUAAGUGUGACAGUGGAAGACUUAUAUUAGGGGUUGUUAAUUCCGCAGGGUGUUAUGUGGCAGUGAACUGGCUUGGAUGUUAGAAGGAGCACAACAAUUAGUACAAUUACUAAAGCAUUUCCUUCUUUGGUCUUGUGGAGUAUUGAUACUUGCCCAUUUUCGUCAGCCUGCCAUUCUUUAUGUCCCCAUUAAAAUCUGAAGAAAACCAAGUUCUAUGAACUCGCCUCUCGCUGGGGCUUUGUGGUUCUAGGUGCAGGUAUAUCCUGUUUAGUCAACACUGCUGCGAAACUCCUUGACUCGCUCAUCAUGUGAAGGACAGCUGCACCAUGCUGCUGGGAGACUGUUUCCUUCUAGAGUUGAAAUAGAUGCUGUGUUUUGGUUAAAGGCCAAGUGAAGCAGUCAGCCUGUGUUUAGAAGCCGUGUUGUUUAAAAACGGCAUUUCUUCACAUCACGCUUCUUUAGGACAGGGGACACUCACUGGGAGAGGUAUGUGGGCCUGAGAGUGGUCAAGUGCGUGAUACAGUUGUGUUUUCCAUCUCUGCACAGUAUGUUUGCCAAGUAAGACUGGGGGUCAGAACUGCCUGUGAAAAAUAGCAGCUGUCAUCUUUCUUGGUCUCCAGUGUCUUCACCGCCUGCCCUCUGCUAAAUGUGUAUGGUUGAAAUCCUGGACAUAAAGUGACUCCUCUUAUACUUUUAAGGAAUUCCUUUACUCAGAUUUGGGUUAAAAUAUUUGUGGCUAUUCAGAACCCAGCUUUUAUACUUGUGCCUGCCUGUGCUUAUGCACGUGUGUGUGGGGGAGAGGGUGUGAGACGGGGCCUAUGCACAUGUUGCCAUUUAUUGAGCACCCAUUCUUUGCUAGUGACUGGGUAUUUUUUAUAAUUAUUUCUAAGCCUUGUAAUAAUAUUUUAAAAUGGGUAAUAUUUCCUAUUAGAUAUGAAGAAGUAUAGGUAGGAUAGGGUUGAAUAAUUUGGUCAAAACAACACAUUUGAUAGGGCGUGUUUCUGAACUUAAUUUCUUUCAUGUUACUUAUUCAUGCCCAGGAACUUUCAUUCUAUUAUUUGUUGUCUAGGUUUUUAAUUGAAGACUCUUUAACUCUAAGCUGCUUUAGUGUGCUCAGCAAAUCCAUUCUGUAUUGUACUUUUGAAUUAGAAGGAGUUAAUGGAGAAUUAAUAUUGGGGGGGGGGGGUCAGUGCAAACAUUUGGUGCAGCUGAAAGUCACCAAAAGAAGACUUUAACAAGAUGAGGGAUCUUUGGUCUAGUUAAGCUAUUUUAAACCUUUUUUAACCUAUUGAAAUACGUAAAAUCUCCUGUCCUUCUUGAAUGUUAUUUACAGUUCCAGAAUAAAUUAGAUGCUGUACCUAAAAACAGAUCAAUUUUAGAUUAUUCUUUUCUUAACCACAAGUACUCUUCCCAAGGUUCUGAAGACCAGAGAGGAAAUGAUGAUGACUACAACAGUAAUUGUGGAAGCAACAUUUAUUGAACGUAUAUUGUAUGCUAGGCACUAUUCAGUCUUUUACAUGAAUAAUCACAUUGAAUCUUUGAAUUAAUACUAUGAGACGGGUUAUUUGAUUAUCUUUGUAUUAUAGAUGAGGAAACUUGAGACAUGGAGAUGUUACAUAGUGUUCCCAGAGUUGGAGCUAGUUGCAAAGGGAGGGUCUGGGAAGUCCAGUCCAGGCUCAUAGUCCCUCCUGUUCUGUCCCAAAGAACAAUUUCAAGUGGGCUUUUCCAUGAUCUUUCAGCAUUUUAGUGACUUCUAAUCCUUUUAUAGAAUUGUUUGACAUUUUUAUUCAGUUGUAUCUUCAAGUAUUAUAAAUAAACAAUGUAUUUUUGCAAGCUUAUUUUUAAAAAGUAAGCAAGCAUUUAUUUUCUAGAGAAAUAGGUUUGAUUUUUUAAUCAUGAAUAUUAUUAAUAUGUGGGCUUUGGAUAAUGAAGAAAAUAUAUUAAGAGUAGAAAUUUUGUACCAGUACUUGGAGUUAGGCCUGAUUUGUAUUUUUGGUGCAGGGAAGAAAGACUGUAUGAAACACAGAGCAUGUUCUUUAUUGGAAUCCAGUCUUAUUUCAUAAUCGGUUGUAUUCACAUCUGUAUUAGGUGAACUAUUACAAGAUUUCUACAUUUUAAGUUAUUAUUUUUAAGUCCCAGAGCCAGAAAUAAUUAUGCUAAUGCAACUUUCUGACGCACAAAUGACUACUUCGUAAUUACACUUAUUAGUACUCCAUAUAUGUUGUCCAGACUGAAAUUUCUUUUGUUUAGUCAUUAAUUAACUGUUUGACUUAAAAUAUAACUGGUGCAUUCCCGAGUCUCCAGAUUUCAAAUGGCUUUCUUCCAAGUGGAAUGUGGUACCAUCAACCUUGUAUAAUGAAAAACGGUCGCCCUGAAUAUGUUCAAAUCACUUUUGUGUGCUGUUUUUGAACUAUUAAUGUUCUUUCAUUUAUUUGUUUUUCUUCUAGUACAAAGUUUCUCUAGAGUAAGCAAACAAUAGAAUGCUAGUUUAUACUGAUUCUUAAAGUGACAUUACAUGUUUUUAGUUGGUAGUAGCUUCAGAAAUUUUAAUAUUAAAAAUGCCUUUUUUUUUUUUUUGGUACUGAGGAUUGUACCAGAAGGAUUAUACCUCUGAGAUACAGGCCUAGCACUCUUUUUUAAAAAAAAAAAAUUUUUUUAAUAUUUGUUUUUUAGUUUUUUAGGUUGACACAAUAUCUACAUUAUUUUUAUAUGGUACUGAGGAUCGAACCCAGUGCCACACGCGUGCUCUACCACUUGAGCCACAACCCCGACCCCUCUAGCACUCUUUUUUUUUUCUUAGAUACAUGACAAUAGUGGAGUGCAUUACAUUCAUGAUUAUCCAUUCAUAGCACAGUUUUUCAUAACUCUGUAUGUAAAAUAUGUUCAUGUAAAAUCAUGCCAUUAUAUAUGAGCUCUUUUUUUGGCAUUACAAUUCUUAAUACACCUUUAUACCACAAUUUAUCAUAUCUCUGUUUGUAUAUAAGGUAUGUCGACACCAAAUUCACAUCUUCAUACAUGAAUUUAGUAUAAUGAUGACCGUCUCCUUCCCCUAUCCUUGCUAUUCCCCUUCUCCCUCCCUUUCCCUCCCACCCCUAUUUCCUAUCUAGAGGUGAUUUUUCAUCCAUGCCCUCCCUCCCUAUUCCACUUUGAGUCACCCCCCUUAUAUCAGAGAAAACAUUUGGUAUUUGUUUUUCUGGGAUUGGCUAACUUCACUUAGCAUAAUCUUCUCUAAUGCCAUCCAUUUCCCUGCAAAUGCCAUGAUCUUAUUCUUUUUUAGUGCUGAGUAAUAUUCCAUUGUGAAUAAAUGCUACAUUUUUUAACCCAUUCAUCCACUGAAGGACAUCUAGGUUGGCUCCACAGUUUAGCUAUUGUGAAUUGUGCUGCUAUAAACAUUGAUGUGCUGUGUCCCUGUAGUAUGCUGUUUUUAGGUCCUUUGGGUAUAGUCCGAGAAGAGGAAUAGCUGGGUCAAAUGGUGGUUCCAUUCCCAGCUUUCCAAGGAAUCUCCAUACUGCUUUCCAAAUUGGCCGCACUAAUUUGCAGUCCCACCAGCAGUGUAUGAGUGUACCUUUUUCCCUCAUCCUCGCCAACACUGGUUGUUGUUUGUCUUCAUAAUAGCUGCCAUUCUUACUGGGGUGAGAUGAUAUCUUAGAGUAGUUUUGAUUCGCAUUUCAUUUCUCUGAUUGCUAGAGAUGAUGAGCAUUAUUUUGUAUAUUUGUUGAUUGUAUAUCCUCUUCUGAGAAAUGUCUGUUCAGGUCCUUGGCCCAUUUAUUGAUUGGAUUAUUUGUUUUUUGGGUGCUUGUCUUGUUGAGCUCUUUAUAUACCCUAGAGAUUAGAGCUCUAUCUAAUGUGUGAGGGGUAAAAAUUUGUUCCCAGGAUGUAGGCUCUCUAGUCACCUCACAGAUUAUUUCUUUUGCUGAGAAGAAACUUUUUAGUUUGAAUCUAUACCAUUUGUUGAUUUUUGGUUUUAAUUCUUGUGCUAAAGGAGUCUUAUUAAGGAAGUUGGGGCCUAAUCCCACAUGAUGAAGAUUAGGGCCUACUUUUUCUUCUAUUAGAUGCAGAGUCUCUGGUCUAAUUCCUAGGUCCUUGAUCCAUUUGGAGUCAACUUUUGCCUAGCACUCUUUUUUAAAAAUAUUUUUCCAAUUGUUGAUGGAUCUUUAUUUUUAUUUAUUUAUUUAUAUGUGGUGUGAGGAUUGAAACCAGUGCCUCACACAUGUCAGGCAAGUGCUCUACCACUGAGCCACAACCCCAGCCCCCUAUGUAAGAAAAAUUUUUAAACUUUAUCUCAGGGGGACUCAAUGGGUCUGACUGGAACUUGAACCCUAGAAAGAAAGAGUCGGAGGAUUAAUCGACUCUAAUGUACGUACGUGGUAUCGGGUGUCAUACAUCCCUUUUUAAGAACUCACGAGAACAUAAAAAUUAAAAAGAAACAUAUUAAAAUAUUUCAACGGUUAGCUCCCAACAUUAAAAAGUCACUAACCAAAACGAUCUAUUGUAAAAACACAAGAGAGAGAAACUUUAUACUUUGGUGUAAUAAAAGUAAUUUUAAAAAAAAAUAUCAACAUCUACCUGUCGUACGGAAGUAAAAUACACGAAUUAAAAAACAUACACCACGAUUCCUAGCUUGGGUUACGGAGUGUGCACGAUCUGUUCACGAGACGGUGACUCGGGGUCGGGGUCGGGGACUUUGAUGUUAAAAACUCCCUAGUAAAUCCUGGGGAGUUUGAAGGAUUUUCACGAGAUGUAACUCUUCGUGUCCACUUAGAUUAAUAUUUCCGAUAACUCUAUAAAACCGAGACUACUGGACCUUUCAAACAAUUGGGACUUCAUCCCGAAACAAAACUGUCUCGAUGACCGAACUACCAGGGUCUGAAUAAAAGACUUGGGUCCGUCCAGAAAAGACUAAUUUAACGUUUAUACUUUAUCGUAUACUUGUCGUUUGUGUCUCGACUUGAACUUCUCACUGUAGUAAAACAAAAACUUGUGUCACGUACGUUAGUUCAAAGUUUAAUUUACACUAUUAGAACACCGUCAACCUAAUUUACAUUAAGGAGACAAGUUGAAUCAUACUUCACUCUAUUAACCUAAGGGUUUGGGUUCAUCGUUUCCAGACAAAUAGUCUGUCAAAUACAGUUGAACCGUGAAAACGGACCCCUCUUCACCUUCAUCCGUCCUACAAAACCUUAGACACGACCCGACGUACAGGAAGGUGACACCCCUCUCACCUGUCUACUUCUGACAGGGCAUAUCGUGUAAACUUACUCUUUACCAUUCUCUUCGUCGAGAGUGGACAUCUCUUAUCACGAGUAUUUUAAACUCAUUCUACAAUUUCUUUUACAAGAUAUUUCCCUUUUGUAAGGACACCUGGGUAAAGUCAAACAUGGUUUUGUUAAAAUAACAUUAAAAUGAAGUCAUACAUCGUGGAUCUUCUUAUAGACCGGGUACCAAUAAUAAGUCUUUACGAACAACUUAUUUACUUUAUUUUAUUUUUUUCGUCAUAUCUAAAGAAUUAAAGACCUUAAGAAUACGUCUAUUUUUUGAAUCUAUAUAUACAAUGUAUUUAUCUUUGAUGUUUUGAUCAUUUUAAAGGUAAUUUCCAGAAUCACUUAAACUACCUACUACAAAAGAGUUUUGAUUCAACAAAGAACGUUGUACUUAGAGUAGGACUCACAAGAGGUCGUCCAAGAAACCUUAAACCACUAUGACAUGGUACGGGAAAAGGUACCUCUUUGACAAAACAAAAAAAGGGAGGUGUCGUCAGUAAAGAUAUUCAGACAUAAUCCGGACCCAUGUUUAUAUAGUAAAUUAGAAUAUAAGUAAAGACCAAAAAGAGUAAUCGGGUUAUUACUGAAUUUACUGUGGUGACCUAUGAUUCCACUUAAAUUAAUGUUUAAUAUUUGAACUCGUUACUUAAAAAUACAAUCUUGUAUAAACAAUAUCCACAAGGAAUAAGUCUAAAGUUUAAAACUUUAAUUUUCAAAGAUCCUUCAGAACCUGGAGACUAUCAUAAGGUGUCUUGGACUCACCUCUUGGAGACGAGCGAACUUACUUUUCUUACGUCUUGACCGAGUCUUCGACCAAGAUCAGAACCGAGACAGUAACCAGUCGGAGGAGUUCAGAAUUCGUUACCACGUGUCUCUGGAAAUUAUUUCUAACAACAACGAGAGUUUCCACAAACCUUCACGUCGUGGAAGAUCCCUCCGAACCGAGGUCGAACCCUUCAAGUAAAAAUUACAAUUAACAGAAAAAUAUUUCACAUGUUAAGUCACUAAAAAGUAUAUAGGUGUUUCAAUACGCUCGUGGUGGUGAAGAUUAAGGUCUUACAAAGGAAGGGGCACUGUCGGAGACGUAAGUCACCCCAACUGUGUACGUCGUGGAGAAGACUCGAGAACUCUAAGAAGACACCAUAACAGAACUCAAAGGAAUGAACAGAUCAUGACCUCAACUUGAAACCUGUCUAACAGGAAAACAGGUAAAGUAUUGAAUGACACGACAAACGACUCGAACGAAAAUUCUUUAUAACUCCACAUUUACUUCUACCACUUUGAGUCCACACUUAAAGGAGAGUCUGAGUCCUCUGGGAGGGUGGGCUGCCAUGGAAAGGGAAGAAUCGUGGAGAAAAUGGCAUUCUUUGGCUUAGAGGACUUCAAACUAAAGCUGGUCAGAAUCACCUUUCAUUUGCUGGUCUCCAUUUGUCUGUUUCAGACCCUCCCCACUUCCCCCAAGGCCCAAGAAUGUACAUUUUUAAAACAUACCCAGAGAAACCCACCUGGCUGAGAGCACUCAUCCUAGAUGCCUGUUUUAAUUAACCUUGGCCUUAGCUUUGCUGUCCCCAUACCACUCCAGUGUAUUUUGGGAGACUUCAGCUACAGGGAUAUGAUUGAGUCUCUUAGAGUCCUUUUCUCAUGUCUUUAGCUAGUGAGUUCCUAAGGGUCAUGGAAUGCAGAGUUGUUUUUUGGGUACUUUAUCUAAAGUAUCUGUUAAUGCUUUGAGCCUUUCAAAGCAUAGUCUGAUUUUUAAAAAAAAUUUUUUUUUUUUUAGUUGUAGGUGGACACAAUAUUUUAUUUAUUUAUUUGUUUAUUUUUAUGUGGUUCUGAGGAUUGAACCCUGUGCCUCACGCGUGCUAGGCAAGCUGUCUACUACUGAGCCACAACCCAGGCCCCACUGAGCCACAACCCCAGCCCGCAUUGUCUAAUUUUUUUGGACAUUUUUUUUGAGGCUGCAGCGUGAAGGGAAGGUCCUUCUUCCCCAUUUUUUUUUCAUCUCCAUUUAAGCCCAAGUAGCUGAAAGCAUCUGAAUCCUGAAGCUGGAUGUCAUAAUCUACCAUUUUACCUAAUCUGCCUACCUGCCAGAUGUUUCUGUUCUCUUUGUAAUUAUAAAGUCCUGUUGAAGAUUUUCAAAGAAGUUCCUAAAUACUUUUACACUGUAGAUGGGAUUGCAGAUUAGUAUAACCACUAUGGAAAUCAGUAUGGAGGCUCCUUAAAAGACAGGAAUGGAAUCACCCUGUGACCCAGCUUACCACCCUUCAGUAUUUAUUCUAAAGAAUUAAAGUCGUCAUACUGUAGUAAUAUAUUUCAUACCCAUAUUUAGAGCAGCACAAUUCACAAUAGCCAAACUGUGGAACCAGUCUAGGUGUCUGUCAAUGAAUGAAUGGAUAAAGAAUAUGUGGUACAUAUACACAAUGGAGUUUAAUUCAGCCAUGAGAAAAAAUGUCAUUUGCAAGAAAAUGGGUGGAACUUGAAAACAUUAUGUUAAAUGAAAUAAGCCAGCCUCAGAAGGUCAAGAGCCAUAUGUUUUCUCUUAUAUGCAGAAGCUGGAGAGGAAAAAGGAAAAGAAAUGUGUUGGAAGGGUACGUCAUGAAAAUCAAAGGGAGAUCAGUAGAGGAAAAGGGACCAGGGGAGUGGGGGAGAGUGAGGGGGGAAGUGCUGGGGAGUGAUAUUGGCCAAAUUAUAGUUACAUUGUGUGCAGGUACAAAUAUGUACCAACAAAUUCCACUGUUAUAUACAACUUUAUAUAAUGCACCAAUAAAAAAAUCUGGGAUAAUGUUCCUAAAAAAUAUCCCAAGUUUUCCAGUAUUGAUGCUUUCGGAAAGCUGGAAAAUCAAAUGAAAAACAGAAACAAAAAGAAAUUCAUUCUAAAUGAUGAGAAGCUGCAGCUGAGCCAGGGUGAAUGUGGUGAAGGAAGUGUGCAUGGGCAGUGCUGCUUCCUCUGCAUGGCAGGGGUCCUCGGGCAGCUUUGUACUUCUGUGAGUUCUCUUUUUUUUUUUUUUAAAUUUUUUUUUCUGUGAGUUCCGACAUGCUUCUGGGGUGGUGUCCACUGGUGGUGAAGGGUGUAGAGAUGAAAUAAAGGUAAACUUUAAAGGACCUAGAAUUUAUACUUGAGAAAGGUGGAAAUGCAGAGGGUCUUCAGCUCUGGGGAAUUGGGCAGCAGGGUGUAUGCACCCGUGUGCCUGGGCCUGCUCCUCCAGGUGGGGCGUUGUGGUAGACCUGGGGUAGAAUUCUGUGCAGACUUCAUAGCUCUGUGGUCAUUUUAUUGUGAUUUCAAAGUAGUUUAUGGGAAGGGAGAAAAAGUUCCUGUGUGCAAGAAACAAGGAGACAGAAAAAUCGCUUGCCUGGGCACAACUAGCCUGCUGUGACACCACGUCAGGAGAGAAGCAGGUGAUCUGAACGGCUGAGAACAAGGCCCAGGCCAGACUUCUGAGCAGGGAGAGACCUCAUUCUGUGUGGCUCUCAUUCAGGGAAUUGUUGAUGUCCCUGUGAGGAGACCGCUGUGGGUGGCACUGUGGUGGAGAUUAGAAGGCCUGGGAAACACAUGGUGGCAUCACACUUUCUUCGUGUGCUGACUCUGAGAGAAGCUGAUCCAAAGAGAGGCUUAUUUGGUUGGCAGAUGGGGUUCUUAUUCACCAAGGCUACAAAGGGGCACUUUUUCAGAACAAGAAGAGGGAGAAGCAUUUAAAUAUAUUUAUGUUUUUAAAAGUUGAAGAGUUGAAAGGGCAAGCAAAUGCCAUCAGCUUCCUGUUUUUGAGAAAGGGUGCUUAACUUGGAAUUAGGCAGGAUCUGUAUGACAGGUUGGAGUAGAAUCAUUUCCCAUUUUUCCUGACGCAUUUUUAAGUGGUGUGGUAACAAAUCCCCAUUCCUGGUGUCAGAGGACAUUUGUUAAUAUGCAUGUUAAAAUUUUUAUUUUUGUACAGUUGAACAAGAUUUAGACUUCUUAACUGAUUAUUUAAGAAUAUUUUUUGUUAAAAUCUUCAGUUACUAAUCAAAAUUUUGAUAUUAAAACAUUUUCCAGAAAUUUUUAACAACACAUUCCUCAAGCAAUUCAGAGAACCUGCUGUGUGGUGAUAAUGUAUUUUUUAUUUCAUAAACGACAAUAGUGACAGAUACGUGCUUUGGAGUUAGCAUCCAUCAUGAUUUAAUAUACUGCAUAAAUUUAUACUCUUUCACUAUGCCUUGGUUGGCUUUCCCUGCUGGAUUGUAAGUUCUGGGUGAGCAGAGAUCUUGGUCUGCUGUAUUCACUGAUGUAUCCUGUGAGCUUAGAGUAGUUCCCAGAGUGCCCUGGGACCUUUCAUUGAAUGGACGAAUGAGGAGGAGUCCAUCAGUCCACAGUGUCAAGUUGCUAUUCACAUGGGCUGCUUUUACUUUUUCCCUGAAUUAGGUGGCCUGGCAUAGUAAUAGUAAUAGUGCCACUGGUGACAGUGGCACCCGGCAAAUUCAUGGCAGCUACCCCUGAACAGCUUGUGAUGUGGAGGAGGUAGCCACCAAGUGUUCCUGUGUACGAGCAGAUUCCUAGAACUAGGAGGGGAUGGAGUGGGGCAGGCAUGCUCAGUUCUCAUCUCAGACUCCUUGAUCAGUUGAGGUGCUCUGCUAGGAGUGAAGGAGGGUGCGGAAGGAAGCCAAUGCCAUCUUCUCUGGAGUUCUUGCCUGGGGGCAACACAAAGACUGGGAAAGGAGGAUGCUCGUUUCCUGCCUGUUGAUUCCCACAGUACCUAUAGAAAAUGGCCAAGCCACCCAGAAGCCUACCAUCAGAAAUACACGGUAGUCUCUUCAGGUUUUUCUGUGCCAGUGUGGAGAUACAUAUAUAGUUUAUUAACCCAGAAUAAGUUUACCUCACAUGUAGUUUUGUAACCUGACUUCUGUUUUAAUAGGUUAUUAGGCCUCUUUUGACAGUGAUCCAUAAUAUCAUGUUUAUUGAUACAUAUUAAUAUUCUUUUUUAUUUCAUGUCAUCAUUUUUAUAUUCAGCAGUAUUUUGGGGGGGCCUGUUGUAUACCAGGCUGUGGUUGUAGAUGCUGUGAGGGUACUAGACAGACAGUUCUGUUCUCUUGGGGCUUAUAGUUUGGAGAGAACGAAAAACAGUAACACAAGUAAGUGAGUAAAUUAGAGCUUUAGAGAGCGCUAGAUACUGAGAUGUGAGCACUGUGAAUCCGUUAGGGAAGGCCUGAAAUCUGAAUGGUGAAAGGAGGCCAGUUGCCUGAGAAGAGGAUAUAGGGAAGAAAACAUUCUAGGCAGAGGGCACAGCCUGUGCAAAGCCUCCGAUGCAGGAAUGUACUUGGUGUGAGGACCCUAGAAGAAACACGGUUGGAGCAGAGUGGGGCAAGCAGGGUGGGGUGUACCUGGGGAGCAGGCUCUGGGAUUUAGUCUUAAGGGCAAUUGGGAAGUCAUUGGAUCAUGAGCUAGCAGGAUGCGAGUGGUGUAAUGUGGAAUUGUUUUCUCUGACUGCUCCUUGACUGUCAGGGGAGGUAGAGAGGGAUCAACUAGGAGACUGUAGCACUCAUUGUGAUCAUGGUAAGAGAUGGUGGUGGCAGUGGAGAGGGAGCAGAGUGGAUAUAUUUUGUGGAGCUGUCAAGACCCCUGGGCUUGGGUGUAAUGGAAAGGAUAUUUUGAGAAAUCCUUGGGACCUCAGCUCCUGCAUUGGGUCUGGUGUUCAUUAUUGAAGAGAGGAUGGGGUGGAGUGUCAGGAGAGUUCAUCUGAAUGUAUUAUGAGGUGUCUGUUUGACAACAGAGAGGUGAUGUCAAAUAGGCACCUGUCUAGAAGCCUGGGAGAAGGUCCUGCUUAGAGAUAAAGAUUGAAGGGUCAUCUGUGUGUAGAGGGCUUUUAAAGCUGAGGUCAUUCUGGAUGCAGAAGGUAGGUAGAGAAUGGGUUGCUAAGCCCACCUAGAGCAGGAGGAGCAGUGGUGAACCAUGCAGGUAUGAGAUGGAAGCUGUGAGAAAGGCCUGGCAUUCAGGUAUGUCCCAGCCGUGCAUCACAUGGAGGAGAUGAACUGCCCUGUUACAUUUGCAUCUUUUGACAUGGUAUCAGAAGUUUUCUGAGUGGUCAGUUGUAACAAGGGAGAAAUCAACUUUCUUUUCUUUCUCAGGUUUUUUCCUCCUUCUUUUCCUUUAGCAGACUUCACAUUCCAACACAUAAAAUGCUGGUGAAGUUCUGGGGUUAGAAACAGAUGAAUGAGACAGGAGCAUGCAGUCUCCACCACAUGUCUCUCAGUUCAAUAUUAGUGUUUUUUGGAAAGGAAAAUCUGGCAGUUAAAAAAGCUUUUAAUAGUAGUCGAACCAUUUUUUUCAAACAGUGUUAUGGGGAACCAAAAAUGUAUAAAACAGAAGUGGAGAUGCUCUGGUUGAAGCCAGUUAGUAGGGCCAAGCUGCCUGCCUGGGUUUCUCACUUUCUCUUGAUGGCAGAUUCCCUGGUGAGUGCUUGGAACCUUGAGUAGUAGAAAGCAAGGCUUGCAAAAUUGUAGCUGAGGAGACCAUACCCAGGAAGGCAGAAGACCCAAGUUAGUGCAGAGCCUUCCUUCCCUGGAGCACGCAAGAGAUCUCCCCAUCGACGACCGGUGUAUUUAUAAAAUAAGUUGUUGUUGACCACAACUCAUCACUCACAUGAUAUGUCUUACAAUUUUUGAGGGACACCUCGAAUUUCUCCGGUUGGGGAGAACGAGGACCAGACCACGAACGAGAGAAACACAACAACCAAGAGUUGGUACCGAUGGACAAUCUUAGUUAGUGAGUCUGGUUGGAUCAGCUUCAGUAAACCUCAGGAACCCCACCUCGGAUCUACACAAAGAAAGAAAGAAAUAAAACCACCAUGACCCCUAACUUAAGUCCCGGAACCCGUACGUUCCGUUCACGAGAGGGUGACUUGGGGUCGGGGUCCCCACCCUGAAGACUUUUGAGGGGUCCUCUAAGACUUCAUGUCGGUCCAACUCUUGGUAGUGAAAUUAGAAGACAACUGAUGAAAAUCUUAAGAAGUAACAUUAAUUUGCUUAACACUAAUUUUUAUUCGUUUUCCUUUAGACCUCCCCUCAUAGUCAUUAUGUGUUCACCGGCAUUGUAGACUUAGUCACCUGUGAAGACUCAAAAAAUUCGUCACACACUGUAAGUUUCGAACCAUAAGUAUUUCCGUUUCCAAUGGGUAAAGACAAAAAGAGAUCGGUGGAAAUAAGCAAAAAGGAAAGACUUAUAAAAUCCAAUUAUGUUACUUCACACAUUGAGUGCCUCCAAAAGGGGAGAAAAGAAGGGUAUGAAUAAUCGGUGACAAAAGUCAAGUAUGAAAUGUCAAGAAUCUACAGACAGGUGAAGGACAGUCAGGAUUUUGUACCACCGUCACUCGAAAUGACCAUUCACCUGUAGGUCAUACCUUUCUGUAAAUUCAAAAUAUUCUAUUCGUCAAAGACUCUUAGAGUCAACAAUCUUUUGAAUACAACAACUGAAACAGUCCCUUACUAGGUCUUUUUACUGAACUCUCCAAUUGGGUUUGGACUACAUCCCGUAAGAGUCUCUUCCUUAACUAAAUUAAUGCCCUCAUAAUUUUUUCCUUGAGGGUAUUUUAUUUGUAUGUGAGUAAUUUUAACCAUCCUCAUUGUACAUCUCUAAACUUGUACUUCUCUCUGACAUUGACUUAACCCCACAAUAACAGGAAAUUCAGCAUGAUUUUUCAAAUAUUUCACAAGUAUGUCAUGAUGGUUAAUCUCACUUUGCUUUCUAACUUUCCAAAAUAGUUGUUUUCCACAUAGCCCACUCAAUAAUUUGUAAUUUUCUCAUUGUUGGAUUGUUUCAUAUUAGUUUUUUUGGUGCCACUAAAUUAUCUAACUUUGAUUUUCUGUAAACGGAUAGCAGUCUUAAUGGUUGAGAGAUCUGUAUCAUUUCAUGUUUUCUUGAGGUUUUAUCAGUAAUUCAAUUGACUCUUUAGUUGACUUUUUAAAUUUUUGAAAUGUAGGUUAGAUAUGUUACACAUAUGUGAAUAAAUUGUGUGUCAUAUAUGUAUAUAUGCAUCCUGUAUAUAUGUGGGUAUCUGUGAGUGCUGUGAAUGUAUGGAUCUUCUUAGGUAUAGGUGGUAAGCACACUGGUGGAAGGCAACUCUUACACUAGUACACACAACGUGGUGUACAAAGUUUGAGUGUGUAUGUUGCAUCUGAUGGCCUCCCCCUGUUGAAUGCCCCUAAGUUAUGCUGUGCUUACAAAAUUUUAUUUGCACUUUUUAAGGAUGUUUUGGAGGAUUCAGUGACUUAACAGGUGUAACACAAAUAGACUCCUUAUGAAACAUGAGGUCGCUUGCCCAGGGCUGAUAUGUAUAGUAAAUAAUAAGACACGAAGAAUACUAACUAUAAUGGAAAAAGUUGAUACACUGGAUUACAUGAAAAGCUCUUCUGUUUGCCAGAGACAGCAGUAAGUGAACGAAAAGUCAACUCAUACAAUGAGACUGGCCAACAUAGGCCUAUUCAGAAUAUUUUAAGAAUUUCUAUGUCAAUAUUAAGAUAGACAGACAACCCAAUUGAAAAGUGAACAAGAGACUUGAGCAGGCACUUCACAGAUGGUCAAUAAACACAGGGAAAGAUGCUCAGCUUUUUUUGUCAACAAGGAAAUGUAAAGUAAAACCACAGAAAGAUGGCCAUUGUACAUCAGAUGGCUAAAGUAAAAAAGACAACAGCAGAUGUUGGCAAGGAGCAGAGCAGUGGUCAUCCACAUUUGUUUAACCACACUGGGAAACUAGAAUUAUCCAUCAAAGUAGAAGAUAGCAUGCCACACAUCUUAGCAAUUCUACUUGUUACAUAUGUUACCCACAGAAAUGUGUGUGUAUGUGUACAUGCACAAGAAUGCUCUCUGGAGCAUUAUUCAAAAUUCUCUAAAACAGGAGCAGCCCAAGUGCUUAUCAACAACAGAAUGGAAGAUGAAUUGUGAUAUGUUCAUAAAAUGUAAAACUAUAAAACCAUGAAAGUGAAUGAACUAAUGCUGUAUUCAAGAAAUGACUAACAUCCACAGACAUAAUGUUGAAAGAAACCAGAUGCUUAAAAUUAAAUAUUGUUAUAUUCUGUGUACAAGUUUAAAGCAAGUUUGAAAACAGAAUGAAUUUAUGGUGUUGGAAUCAUAAGUAGCUACCUUUGGAGAGUGGGGAGGAUGUGGUAGUUGGGCUUCCUCAGUAUUGGUAAUGUUCUUUUUCUUGGUCAUGGGCAUACACACAGAUACAUGUCUGUAAUAAAAAAAAAAAAAAAGGAAUAGUUUUACAAAAUGUGUGGUAUCCAGUUCUGUUUUUCUAGAGUUGAUAAAGUUGAUGCUAAGCUGUUAUUCAGGUGUCCGUCAGUCAUUACUCUUUGAGGGAAGCAGAGUUCACUGGGAGUGUUGUAGCAUAAAGGACCUAUUUAUUACAGGAACAAGAAGUUAUGCAACUGUGGGAGAAGCUGGAAGUAACAGUCCAGAAGAAGAGAAGUGUAGAGUCAGAGAAAAGUCACUAAACUACCCACUUCCGAAGCACGAGCACGCAUGGCCAAGUUAGAGCUCGCAAGAAGGUUGCUGAGGCCAGGCAGGAACACUGCUGGAGUGGGACCACACGGGGAGUCAGGUGAAGAAGCCUGUGAAGAGCAGCCGCUGAUUUCAUGGUGUGUUGCCCAGCUCUGGUGGGAGCUGGAGGUUGGGGGGCAGGCCCAGUGACUAAGGGAAGAACCAUGGAAGGGCAUGCACCGGGCUGAGGCUGGUAGCGCUGUAGCUCCACUUCUUUGGGAAGCAGUGGCUGGGUCAGUUCCAUCUCUUCUUUCUGUUGCCGCUUCCAGCUCUGCUGGCCCUGGAAAGUAGCUGAAUCCCACUGUUUCCUUUUCAAUCUUUUGCAGUUCCAGGGAAGGGCAGCCGGGAAAUCCAGCCCAACCAAAUCAUGUGGGUUAGAAGGUGCCAUAGUGAUGGUUGCACAGUUCUGUGACUGUAUGAAAAAUACUGCUGAAGUGUGUGGACUUUAUGUGAAUUAUAUCUCAGUAAAACUGUUACUUGAAAACUACCCCAGGUUGAACUUUAAAGAAAAGCAAAGAAACAAUUGGGACAAAAGUCAGGAUGGUAAUGGCCUGGGAAGGAGGGUGUGGAGAGGAGGGACUGUGAGCUGUCUUCUAAGGUUAGGAAAUUCCCUUGAAGAGGGUUGGGGUUCCAUAAUUGUUGCUUCAUUAUCAUGUAGUCCUCUGUAAGUGGAGUAUUGCAGAAAACACAAGAAGACAUUAAUUUGUAGUUCAGUGAUGGAAGGCAGUGAAAUCAGUGCAGUUUAUAAAGUUAGCGGGGCUCGGUAAGAUGUGGCCCUCAUUUUCUAACUUUGUAAAGGUUAGAAGAUGUUAAUGUGGCUGUAAGUGUUCUUCUUGAGGUACGGUUUUAGGGCAGUCGUUGCUUCUCAUCAGCUUGGGUCUGUGUUACCCUAUUCAGCUAUUCUUUGGAAAACUGGGGGCAGGAGCUGUGAUCCACUUGUUAAUCAGGUCUCCAGGUCUCCUGACAGUCCUAGUAAAUUUUGAAAAUAGGUCAGUGGGAUACUUCUGUCACUUUCCACUGUAUGUAUUUGAUUUUGAAAUUCAAACUAAGAUUUCUUUGUACUUAAAAGUGGGUUUUACAGAUUAUUCAGACUUUCAUAUCAGAUCUGUUUUAGUUAUCUGAGAAAUCAGAACAGUCUCAUCAACUGAAACUUAUUGGAAAAUGUCCUUAUCUAUUCUGCAUUUACUGGAGCCACUUUUCAUUUGAAUGUUUGUUAUGGCUCUUUUUAUUCUCUUUGUAAUGAGGAAGCAAUUGCCCAAAUAAAGAUAUGCAGCUUUCCUGCCUGAGGCUGUAGUUGUACCAUAGUUUCAAUGGAUGUGAAGGUUUUUAGGAAGUUCAAAACCGAGACUGUCUUUGUAUCAUUUGUAUGCAGAAAUUAGAUUUUUUUUUUUUUGCUGUAGUUAGGGAGACUUUUAGCUGCUUCUCUUGGUGUAGAACAUACAUACAAUGUUUUUUGAAUGCAAUGAGUUUUUUGGGAUAGAUUAUUUCUAUGUGGAUUAAAUUUAUGUCAGUCAAGCCUCCUUAAUAUUAGUUAUGACACCACUGAACUAUUGUAAAUCUUUAGAGAAUCAGUUGUUAGAUAAUGAGAUUCUUAGGGGUAUGAUUUGAGUUAAGUGUCACUUUUCCUACUUUUUCCAUUAAGAAAUAAUAACUUUUGGUGAAUUUUCUAAACCAGUUUGUUGCUAAGCAUUGGAUCUGCUAUUCUUUUUCAUUCAGUGGUUGUUUUGAGUGCCCACUUAUUCAUGAUACUUGCUAAAGCAGUAAGGCAGACCAUAUUCAGGGGCUCUGUCCAUGGGAGUACAGCAGUGGGAUUUUGCAGCAGAGGCAAACAACUGGGCAUAACUUCAGAGACAGGACAAAUGGGGAUUUGUAUCCAAGGAGCUGGACGGGAGUCAGUGGAUAGAAAAUUACUAAGAAGAAAGAUAAGAGUAAGGGGGAUUCUGGCUAAAAUCAUUUAAUGGGAUUCUUGCCAAAAGCAGGCCGAGAUGAUCAGACAUAACCUCAGAGAUGAUAAGAGGUUGAAGAAUCUGAACAGUUAUCAGGUAUUGAGGGUGGGGCUCUGGCUAAACCAUGCUGACAGGGUACUUGCUGACAGCCUGAUUAGAGCGGAUACCAAAGGUUAAAGUGCAGGUAAGAGGCGGGGUACAGGGAGCUUACCUAGAUUUUUUUCAGGAGACACUCAAAUAUUUCCUCUGGCCUUGCGAUAAGCUAGCCGUUCAGAGGUAUGUAGAAGGUGUCCAGGAUCUUAUAGGUUAAAUGGACAUAAAGUUUGAUUGCAUUGUGGUGUUUUGGGAGUAUGAUAACUUACAGAGCAUGUGUGAGCAGGAUGAACUUGGGCACAGAGGCAGCACUGACAAAGUCUGCUUGAGCAUACAAAUGUAGGUAAUAAAAAAAGGGCACUAGAGCUGUGUUUGGAAUGUGAUUAGGAGUUUGCUAGGCAGAUAGAAUCAGCAGGAAAACUCUAGGCUGAUGGGAGUACAUGUACAAAGGAAUAGAAGGAAGAAAUUUGACUUAUUUGGGUAAUUGGAGAUGGCUGGCUGAGGGUUUGAGGCGAGGGGUGAAUGAGUUGAGGUUAGAAAGAUGGUAGUGAGAUCACAGAAGCCCUGUCUGUAGUGUUGGGUUUACAUUUUGCCUCAUAGGUAACAGGGAUUGUUUGAAAGAUUUUAAUCAGAAGAGUAAUUGAUCAGACUUUCAUUUUACACAGUUACUCUGGGGUCAGUGUAUAGAAUGGCUUGGAGAGAGAAGCUGGCAGUUUGGUGAGGAAUCCAAGUCAGAGUUAAUCAAUUAAGACCUGUUUUUAGGCAGUGGCAGUAGAGGAGGAUCUGACUUGAAAGCUAAAAUUAGUAGGAUUUUAAUGUGACCUCUUAAGAUGUGGUGGCUAUUGCCCUUUUCCUAAAUUGAGAAAGUACAGAUUAGCUAGAGAAAAGAUGGAUUUGAAUCACUUAUGUACUUAGUUAAUAGAAAUAUGACUAAAAGGAGCAGUUAGAAUUUGGGACUGAUGUACCUUUUUAAUAGAUGAAGGGGAGGCAGAGAAAGGGCAUUUUUGGGAAAAUAGAUAACUUUCUAGAAAGGUAAAGGGCCCUUAGGAGAAUAAUUCUGUGACAUUGUUUGGAUGUGGUCUGUUUAGGUGUCUUCUAAGAAGAUUAGAGUUGUUCCUGGGGAGGGGAUUAAUGGCAAUUGAGUUCUUUCCAUUUCUUUUGGGAGAUUCUCCUUUUAGGCUGAUAGGGAUUUUAGGAAUGCAAAUGCCUUUAGCUUGAAAUAAUUUUUAUACCACAGUAGUUGCUUCUUGAUCCUUUCUUGGUGAAGGAGAGGAGAAAUUACUGUGAUUCUGACUUGAGUGAUAGUGGUGCUAUUGAUAGUGAAGUACGCAAAGAAGAGCAUGUUUCAGAAGUGUAAAAAUUUUAUUUGUAUAAUCGAACUUGGAGCACCUGUGGAACAUACAGGUAGAGAUACUAGGAAGUAAUUAGAUAUAGAUCUGGGAGCUCAAGAGAGAGCUCAAAGAAGCCGAGGGUAUGGAUGAAGUAUACCUAGGAGAGUAGGAAGAGUGGGAAAAGAAAAAGGUUCUAGAGAUGAACCAGAGGGGGUUGGAAAAUGAGGGAGAUGGGGAAAAAUAAAAAAGAAAUUGAGCUUAUAAAGGAGACUGUAGGGAGAAAUAGCUGAGGACAAAGAGAACUGGGAGAGUUAUAGAAACCAAGGAGGGCGGGGGGGACAGGGUAGCAGGGAGAAUAAGCAGUAGGGAUCUACAAGGUCAGGUGCAGAGUAGAAUUAUAUAUGUUCAGAAAAUAUUUUUUGAUUCAGUGUAUAAUAAUGGUACAGUUUUGAGGAGGAAAUGGAGGAUUGUUUAUUUAAAAGAAUUUGGAACAGUUGGCUUACCAUUUUCCUUAUGACAAAAUACAUCUAAAAAUUAAACGUAAAAAAUUGGAAGUGAUAAAAAACUAGAAGAAAAUAUGGGCCAGUAUGUAGGUGUCAGACUAGAAUUCUGUACCCAGCAAAAAUAUUCUUUACCAGUGAGAACAAAAUUAUUACUUGUUUUGAUCAACAAAAUUUAUUAACUGAUAGAAUAACAAAGAAUCAGAGGGGUUAGAAAAUCUUAGUAACAUAAUUAGUAAACGUGACCUAAUUGAGAUGUCAUUUAGUAGUAGACUAGACAAAAUGGAAGAGAGAGUAUUUUGAAAAAAAGAAAUAUUCAAAACAAAAUAUGGGAUAUAACAAAACAUGAAAUAAAUACUUUGUGCCUAAUACAAUAGACUAUUCAUUCUUCUCAUAUGCACAGAGAACAUUUACCAAAAUUGCUGAUCCAUAAAGCAAGUUUUAACAAAUUUCAAGACUAAAAUUAGACUGUCAAACUUAGUAUAACGAUAGGUUUGAUAUUUGGAAAAUUGAUCAGUAUAAAACUUGCAGAAAAUAACGUGAUGAUGUCAAUAGAUGCAAUAUUGCCACUGGUAAAAUUCAACACUCAUUAAACAUGAAAUAGCAUAUUAUUAUUAAAAGGUAACUUCCUUAAUCUGGUGAAGGUUAGACUCAGAAAAAAGGUUAGAUCUCUGGCAUGCAUCAUGUUUAAUGGUGAAAAUGUUGAAUGUUUUCCUUUAGAGGCUGGGGAAAAAAUAAGUUAUUUUUAAUAUCACCAUUCCUGUUUAUUAAAGGACAUUCUACCUAAUUAAAUUAUAAGACAAGAAAAAUGGAGUAUGGAAGUCAAAAUAGAAUAAAUCUGAUUUUAUAGAUGACACAAUAGUGUAUGCACAAAGACUAAAAAUAUAUUCUUACAACUUAUUUUAAAUACUCACCAGACUGCAAAACUCAAAGUAACUUCAGACCCAUUUUUAUAUGCCAGUGACAAAUAGGAAAUGUAAUAAAAUAUAUCAGUUGUAAUAACAUAAAAAUCCAUAUUUUUCAGAAAAAGUUUAUGUCUAAAGCAAUAAACAUUAUUGAGAAAUGUUAAAGAACUACAGAAGGGGAUAUACCAUAUUCAUGGAUUAGAAGACCCUAUUGUAAAAUGUUGAUAUGCCUAAAAUUCAUCUAUGUACUCAGUAUAUCAAUCAAAAUGCCAGCAGAUUGUGUGUGUGUGUGUGUGUGGGGGGUGUGUAUGUGUGUGUGUGUGGAAAUUAACAAAUGGAUACUAAAAUGUACACGAAAAUGUAAGCAUCCAGGAAUGGCUGAAAAAAUUUUUGAAGGACAACAAAGUGAGCAGAUUUAUGUUUCAGGGUAGCAAGACUUAUUAUACAGCUAUAGUAAUACCAUACUCUUGUAUGGUUCUAGUAAAAGACUAGACAGACACACCAAUUGAACACAGUAGUCCAAAAAGAGACCUACAUUUGUAGGGCACUUGAUGUGUAUUACUUAAGAGGCCCUGCAGUGUAGUCCACAAAGGAUAGUCUCUGCAGUAAACGGUUUGUGGGGGCUGGGGACACAGCUCAGUGGUAGAACAGUUGCCUAGUAUGUGCAAAGCCCUGGGUUUGAUCCUCAUCACCAUCCAUCAAUCAAUAAAUAAAAUUAAAUAGAAAAAGAAAAAACGUAUUUGGUUAAUUACAUACAUAUGGGACAAACAAAAAUGUCACAAUGAUACUUUUUUUUUGUGAUGCUGGGGACUGAACCUAGGGCCUUCCUCAUACUAGGCAAGCAUACUACCAUUGCAUUGAGCCACAUCCCCAGCCUAAAUAAAACAAAAAUAUGAGACACCUACCUAUGCCUGACAGAUUUUUUUCCCCAAAUUCAUAUCAGUCUGGAUCCAGUUAGGAGGAAGAAACCAGUAAAUUGAAAGAAAAGUUUAAUAUGAAGAUACUAGUUAGAACAGGGAAUUUAAGUUAUAAGGGAUUGGCUAAUAAAAGGCAACAAGAACUCUAUAGAAAGCAAGGAUAGCAGAUACAUGGAGCAGCUGCUGCCUCUAGUGCUGAGAUAGAGGGCCCCCUUCCCUCAGGACUGAGACAAGACUAUACCCAGAAGACAUGGUUCUGGUUUAUUGUGUGGCAGACAAGUCCCUGGAGUGUCACACUGGUGGUGCUUGAUGGGAAUCUACUUCCGGAUUUGGCAGAAGCCACUCUGCUGGGCUCCAGAGAAAAAUGCUUCAUGGGGAGGUAUCCACUGUGGUACCUUGCUAAAACCACCCAGGUAGGAUGUUGGGGAGCUGCUGGGCAUUUCUGGCUGCAGUGUGCUACGGUCUCCAGAGGCCAGAACCACUGUGCAUACUACAGAAGCUGGAUGGUGGAGUAGUCACUCGGGGUGCAAGAGCUGGUUGCUGUUGAUCACUUACUGCAGAAAAACCUGGAAGGCUGUACAUAUCAAGAUGCCAAGAUGGUGCACACGUUUGUUUCUUUUUCUUAUUGGCAAAUAGGGUUAUGAUGAUUUCUCCUCCCUUCCAUAUUAAAUUCAGCAUUUAUUCAAUAAAAGUCAUUGCGUGUUUCUUCUGAGCUAUACUGGAUGCAUGGGAAUGGACAAAAUAGACAUUGCACUUACCUUUGCAGAGUUUGUGGUGUGGUCGAAUAGCUAUUCAGUUGAGCUUCUUCUUUGUGCUAGGUAUUGUUCUGGUCCUUGGGGAUGUAUAUCUUGGUGAUCAAGACACUCUUGCCUUCAAAAGGAAAUAGCUAUCGAGCAGAUAAUCAUAUGAAUAGCUGCAUCUUAGGGAAUCAUCUAAAGGGACAGAAAGGGAAAAUUCUGAAUUGUCAGUUCAGAGGUGAGAGAUCAGGAUGGGGCUGGAAGACCUUGCAGUGGGAAAGAGCUUGGCUCAUUUGAAGAAGUGAGACUCAGGGAAAUUUGAAAGUAGGGUGAUGAAGACAGUGUCAGGAGAAAAGGCCCCAGUAGGGGCCAACUUGCUCUCAGCCUUAGGCCACCUUGGGAACCAGGGUAGGCCAAUGAAGGUACCCCCUGUAGAGUUCUACAGUCAGAGCCCAAUGGAUUCUUUUUAGGUGUUUUUAUUACCAUCUUAUGGUGUGCUGAGUGGUCAGUUGAUUGGAGGCAAGACUGGCGAUCUUGAGACCUUGCACACAUUUGCAGGAAUCCAAGGAUGCUCAAUGAUGGAGCUUGACAUACAUGGAUUACUUGGGGAUGGGGUUUGGAAAUAGAAUCAGACUUGGGGAUGGAUUGAAUGUGGGCUAGGAGGGAGAUGGAACUGUUGAGAAUGACUUCCAGGUUUCUGGAAUGUGAAGCCAUUUUUCUCUGUACUUUUGAAACGAGUAUAACUUACUUGUUGAGUUUAAAAAGUUAAAGAAACUUGAAUUUGGAGAUGAGGAAGGCUUUGGUAACUAAACAAAAAUACAGUUACAGAGGGAGAUAGAAAGUGAAGAAAAGGUGAUGUUAUAGAUCUGCAAGUUCUUAGAGAAGCUGUAAGGUAGAAGGCUAAUGUAAGGCUGUGGGACAGAGGGUGUCAGGUUUUGUUUUAUAGAUGGGGCAGAUGUGAGCAACUUCUUUUGGGAUGGAGAAACCAUAGAGAGAAGAGAAUUAUCUGCGUUUCUUAACAGAUAAUUGAAUGUCUGUAUGCGAGGCAAUAUUCUAAGUCCUUGCAGUAUAAACCACAACACAUAGCCCCCUUUUCUGGGAGCCUAACUUGCAAAGUGGGAAGAUGACAAUAAAUAAAUAAUCUGCCAAAUGCAUUAUAAACAGAAAAAGAAAUAAAGCCUGUUAAUGGGGAGGUACAGGAGUGCUGAGGUGGGUGGACAGUGGGAUGUGAUUAUAUGCGGUGGGUGGCAUUUAUGGACUUGAUGCCACUAGAAUGUAAGAUACAACAGGGAAGGGAUUUUUGUUUUACUCACUGUUAUCUCCAGAAUUUAGAAUGGUGCCUGACACAUAGUGCUCAAUAAAUAAUUGUUGUGUAAAUCAAUUGAUUAUAUACUAUCAAGGAUGGGAUGAAAUGAGUUGUGGAAUACAGUUGUGAAUGAAGAUGUAGGGAUAUAAGUACCCAUAUUCCCAAUUCAAAUUAUAAUUAUCUUUGCUAUAAUUAUCUUUGGAUUCAGCUAUUCAGUUGUAUUUUGGAUCCUUUGGUUAUCUUUGUUUCAUGGCUUUAGUUUGGCUUGCUGUAUGUUUCUUAGGUAUAUUAAUAUAAUUUACAAACCUUACUUAUCCUUAGGCACAUUACUGAAAUGAGAAGUGACUGUUCUCAGUAAUUUAAAAAUAAAAUUUGCACUAUUAUAUUGGUUUAUAUAUUGAAGAUGUUUAAUAACCUUUCUUGCUUUCAGCAUUAUGCUGCUUUAAAGCGGUGUGUGUAUGUAUUGUGGUUGUUUUAUGCCAACUAAAGAAACCAGUUUAGCUGGGUUUAAACUGCAGUGGUUGUAUGUUAAACCAAGUCACACUCUCCUUGCUGUUCCUGUUUUGAUCAGUCAGUUUGGCUGAUCCCAUAGCGAGUCUUUUCAUCGAGUUUGCAAAGUUCAGCCUUAUGACAGUGUUCUAGUUUGUUUGAAAUCCUAUAGCAGGCCAGUCCUCUCUGCUUUAGGCAUGCAUGAAGAAGACUGUCUUCUGUGUGCCAAGUCUCAGCUCUGUGUUGGGGAUUCCAGUGCCAUACAUGACUUUGUUCUAGCUCAGGAAGCGCUGGCUUCUGGCAGCAGGGCUUGCCUUUGUCAAAAAGAAUUGACACAGGUGUUUUAAGACCAGUCAAAGCUGGAAGUUCCCUUAUGUUUCAAAGAUUUCACAUAUUAAUGAGGAAAAGGGAGCAUACAAAACAACUAUAUCCUUUUUGCCAUAGGUUGUCCUUUCUUAGAGAAAUCACUUUAUCUCUCUUGUAAAAGUGUAUAAAAUAUACUUAAUUAUAAAAGUAAUAAAUGGUCAUAGAAAAGAUUCUAACAACAUAGGAGUGUGGAGGUUAAAAAAUGGAAAAUUUUCUCUAAAAUCGUACAUUGUAGAAGAUAACAUUGUCAUCAAUUUGAUUUAUAUUUGUAUUAGUCAGUCUUUUUGUUACCAUACAGAAUACCCAAGUCUAGGAACUUUAUAAAGUGAAGAGGUGUAUUUAGCUCACAGUUUAGAAGGCUGAAAGUCUCAAGAUUGAAUGGCUCCAUUGGUUCAGCCUCUGGUGAGGGACUAAUGGCUGAUGGCUGGAGUGCAUAUGAGUGGGAGAGAUCACAUUGCCUAAUAGGAAGGCAAGGUGUGUGGACUGGACCCAGGCCCUUAGAAUAGCCCCCUUGUGACAACCAACCAGGGUCUCAUGAGAAGUACCUUAACCCCUUCUGAGGGCAUGCCCCAGUUGAUCUAAGAAGCUUCUACUGGGCCCUACCCUGUUGAAGGUUCCACAUCCCCUUCCAGUACCUCCAUCCCUGGGACUAAAGCCUCUUACACGUAUAGACUUUUGGGGCCACACUCAAACAUAUCCUUAUCCGUAUGGUAAUAUCCUUAUUUGGAUUUUAAAGAUGCAUAUGUACAUCAUGUAUGUGUGAGUAAUAUAUAUCUGCAUGUAAGUAUGUGUGAAUGCAAGUACACACACAUAGAAGAGGAAUCAUAUACACGACUUAACUGUUUUCUUCUCCUAACAAUUUAUUAUGGGCAUUUUACAUUUCAGUGAGUGUGUUUGUGUGUGUGUGUGUCUGUGUGUACGCUUGUGUGUGUGCAUGAUUGCAUAACACAGUGUUCCAUAAAGAAUUAAGUCAUCCCAUAUUUUGUUUUUAUAAGUAGUGAUGCACUUAACCUUCUGUUAACUGUUUUCGUGAGGGGGGGUGUGGGGGGCUAAUUGGGAUUGGACCUAGGGGCACUGUACCACUGAUCUACACCUCCAGCCUUUUUAAAUUUUAUUUUCAGGUAGCGUUUUACUAAGUUACUGAGUCUGUCCUUGAACUUUCCAUCCUCCUGCCUCAGUCUCCUCUGAGUAGCUGGGAUUAGAGGUGUGCACCACCUUGCCCAGCAUGUUCACAUAUUUUUGCACACUUCACUGUUAUUUUCUCAGAAGACAGAAGGGCUUGUCAAAGUGUAAACAUUUGCCAUGUAACCUUGUGAAAAGAUACCAACUUGUAUUCUCAGUUACCAAAUACGAGCGUCCCAUUUCCCCAGACCCUCACCAACACCAGGUGUUACUACCACUCUUAAAUCUUUCUCAGUCUAACAGGUGAAAACUUAUGUCUCUUUUUGAUUUGCAUUUCUUUGUAUAUUUCUGUGAUCUAGCAUGUUCUGACCAUUUGUAUUACUUUGUAUCUUUAUUCUUUUUAGUUAUAGACAGUAGAAUAUAUUUUGACAUGGAGUAUAACUUCCCAUUCUUGUGGUUGUACAUGAUGUAGAGUUACAGUGGUCAGAUAUUCAUAUUUGUGUUAAUUUUUUUGAUAUCUUUUUUGAACUGUCUUUAGUCCUUUGUUCUUUUUUUUCUUGGUAGAUUCUUUUCCCUUUUUCUGAUUUCCGAAUGUUUUUUUAAAAAAAAUAUAUGUAUAAUUUUUCUCCUGUUAGUCAUCUGUAUUUGUCUUAAUUUAUUAUUAUUUUUUAACUUGAUAUAUCCUCAUGCCAGUUCGGUGACUCAUGCACUCAACUUUGAAUCUUCUAGCAUUGGUAGCAAACUUAGGAAAGUCUUCCCCAUACCACUAACUAGAUGUUCUGUUUGCUUAUUUGUUUAGAAUUUUAUCCUCAAGAUGUUUAACAGCUAAAUAAUUUUUCAGAUAUAUGGGCAGGGUGAAGUAGAGCUCUGGGUUUUCUCCAGAACACACACUUAUUGUUGAAUUGUUGAUGUUUUAUUGCUGACUUAAAAUGCCAUCUUUAGGGCUGGGGUUGUAUGGCUUAGUGGUAGAGUAGUUGCUUAGCAUGUGUGAAAAUCUGGGUUCGAUUCUCUGCUCUGCAUAUAAAUAAAUGAAUAAAAUUUUAAAAAUUAUAGCAUCUAAAAAUAUUUUUUAAAAAAUUCCACCUUUAUCAUGCUCAGUUUUUACAGUUACAUGGUUCUUGAUAGCAGGACUCUGCUCAGCAAUCCAUUUGUUCUGUGCCUCUAUCAGUAGUACAUAUUUUUCCUUUCCUUACAUAUUAAUUUACUUAUUCCCACAUAUUGUAAAGAGAACAUUACUGCUUCUCUUCCCAUCUUAAAUAUCUUCUCAGAAAACAGGAGUGUGACUUUACAGUACACAUUCAUUUGUGUGAAUUGUCUCUGUACUAAUUUCAAUAAGUUGAGGUCAUACAAUCUUUCAGAAGUUGUGGGUUGAAGGGCUGGGGUUGUGGCUGAGCCUAGAGCGCUCACCUUGCAGGUGCGAGGCCCUGGGUUCAGUCCUCAACACCACAUUAAAUAAAUAACUAAAUAAAAUAAAGGUAUUAAAAAAUUAAAAAAAGUUGUGGGUUGAUAAAAAUGUAAAUAGAGCAACUGUCUUUGCUGUGGAAGAUGGAAUUUAAAUAAUCCUUACCUGUAUUUCUCUAGCCAUCACUUCCUAGCCUUUCUCAUAUCUUAGAAUACAUCAAGAAUAAAUAUAUUUUCAGGGCCACUGGGUAGAUGGAGGAGUGCUCUGGGUGUGGUCUGGAUGGCCUGUCCCCUCACAGGGGACCAGGGAUCAACACCUGCAACCCAUUCUUUAUGUGCUGCAGGUGAUUAGGAAGUAUUCAGGAAGUGCUGCUCUAGGCUGAUGUACUCCCACUUCAAAAUUUUUGUAGGUCUUGACAGUUUGAUAAUGAUUUAAUAUUUGGAGAGCCAGAUUUCUCUAAAAAUGUUUUUAUUGGGGGUUGGGGUUAUAGCUCAGUGGUAGAGCACUUGCCUCGCACAUGUGAGGCACUAGGUUCAAUAUUCAGCACCACAUAAAAACAAACAAACAAAGAUAUUGUGUCCAUUUAAACAUUUAAUAAAUGUUUUUAUUGUGGUGAGGUAUAUGCAAUAGAAAAUUGACGCUCUCAGUGAUUUUUUACUUGUACAGUUUAACAGUGUUUUUAAACACAUUUACAUUAUUUUGUGACCAUCACCACUGUUCAGCUGAGAAUGUUAUCUUCCCAAGCUACAGCUUUGUCCUUAUCAAACGCUAAUUCCCCACACCACUCUCUUAGCAAUUACUGUCUACUGUCCAUGUACAAAUCUGACUACUCCAGGGUCCUCAGAACGUGGAGUCACACAGCAUUCAUUCAUUCAUUUGACUGGCCUCUUUUAUCAUGGUGUCUUUAAGGUUCAUCCAUGUUGUAGCAUGUGACAGAACUUCCUUUCUUUUAAAGGCUGAAUAAUAUUCCAUUAUGUAUAGACCAUUAUGUUUAUGCAUUCAUCCAAUAAUGAACACUUGAGUUGCUUCUACCUUUGGAUAUUUUUUUUUUUUAAAUAUUUAUUUAUUUAUUUUUGUUUUCGGCGGACACAACAUCUUUGUUUGUAUGUGGUGCUGAGGAUCGAACCCGGGCCGCACACAUGCCAGGCGAGCGCACUACCUCUUGAGCCACAUCCCCAGCCCACCUUUGGAUAUUUUGAAUAACGCUACUGUGAACAUGGUUGGGCAAAUAUGAGAGCCAGACUUUGUGCAGAGCCAGACUUUCCUCAGGGCUUGAUCCUAGACUUUUCUUUCUGUGACCAUUAAAUGUGGAUAUUUCUCAGGAAUUAGACCAAGGCCCUUCUCCUCUUCCCCCUUGGUUUUCUAAAAGUGAAGCAAAGAGAUUUUGUCAGUCUCAUCUUGUACAUGAACAAUAUGACCUUAUUUUUUUUUUUAAAGAGGACAAAGCAACAAGACCAAUGAAUUACACUAUUUUUAAAGGGUUUAACCCCCCCCCCAGCUUUAUGAGAUAUAAUUGGCAAAUAAAAAUUAUGUACAUUCAAGGUUCACAGUGUAAUGGUUUGAUUUAUAUAUAUAUAUGUGUGUGUGUAUUGCAUAAUGAUGAACCAUUAACACAUGCUUCACCACUCAUGUGGCAUGUGUGGGAGGAGGCAAGACCCUUGAAACCUGCUGCUUAGCACAUUUCAAGUAAGUAGAGCAGCAUUAUUAACCAUAGUCACCAUGCUGUGUGUUGGGGCCCAGAACUUACUCAUCUUACAACUGAAAGUACAUCCCCUUUGACCAGCAUUUCCCAUUUCCUCCAGCCCCAUCCCCUGUCGACUCCCGUUCUGCUCUCUGUCUUAGGAGAGUACUUCAGCCUCCCAAGUGCUCAAGUCAUAUCCUGAGAAUCACUUUUAAAACAAACCUUCUAAUUUGGGGUACUUUUAGAGUCACUGCAAAGUUGCAAAAAUUUUGUGGACCCUAGUUGCUCUGUUAAAAUUGCUAUGGCUUGUUUGUCACCACCAGUGAACCAAUGUGGAUAUAUUAUUAUAAACUGAACUCCAGAGGAAAUUCAAAUUUCCUUUGUUUUUCCCUAAUGUCCUUUUCUUUUCCAGGAUCCCACCCAGGAUGCCAUAUUAUAUCUAGUUUUCAUAUGUUUUUAAGUUCCAUUAUACUGUCAGUUUCUCAGACUUUCCUUUUUAUUAUUGACCUUGACAGGAGAGGUAUUUUAUACGAUGUUCUUCAAUUUGGGUUUGUCUGCUCUUUCUGUCAUCAUUAGACUCGGAUUAUGGGUUUUUGGAAGGAAGACCACAUCACAUCAAGGGUUCCUGUUCUCAGUGUGACUUACUACUGGUGAUGUAAACUUUGGUCACUUGGCUGAGGUACUAUUUAUCAGGUUUCUUCACUGUAAAGUUACCAUUUUUCUCCCCAAAAGAGGUCAUUUUAGAAACUUUCCCUGUUUUAAUCUGUACUGAAUCUAAACCACUUUACACUGUAUCUUUUUCCCAAGUAAGUUUCCAUUCUGUUCACAUCACUCUGUUUAAGCGCCACUCCUGUCUAGGCAGCAGUGGCCUGUGCCCUGGCUGCUUCGAGAGUGCCCCUGGCCAUGUGUCUCCUCUACUCUGGCCUCCUCCCACUUUGGUCUGUACCCAGAAUGGUCUUUCAGAAAUGCUCUUUUCUCAAACUUGUGAAUAACUCCUAUUGUGCUUCAGAUGCCAUUCCUGCUCCUCAACAGUCAGGGCCUGUGUGACGUAGUCUGUCUCCUCUCUAGCUUCUGGCAAAGUACCUCUCACUUUGUUUACUGUCCCAGACGCUGGUUUCCCACCCUGAAUUACUUCAGCACUCUCUGCAACACAGUGUGGUCCUUCCUGCUUAGAUUGAUGGGCACCCACCACCUGUGUUCCUCUAGUCUCAGCCUGACUGCUACUUACUCUUUCUCCAUAAGCCAGCCCUAGGGUGGAGUUGCCGGCCUGCCUUGCUGUGUGUUUCUGUACUUCUUCCCUGUACCUGUCGUGUUUUGAAUCAACUUCCAUGCUAAGGUAGACCAGUGGAGACUUUCUCUGUUCUUUGCUGUGUAUCCAUCCCUGUUACCCGAUAACUGAGCUUGCUGUGGAGUAGGUGCUUAAUAAAUAUUUUUAAAUGGGUUAAUUUUGUCUUUUGAAUGGAAUACAAAUACUCUUUGAUAUUAGCAUGCAAGUAUGCAGACAAGUUCUCAAAUAGAUGUCUCUUAGUCAAUUGAUUUAAUACCCUGGGUGUUCUUUUAAAUGCCUUGUGCAGGGUGCAUCGAUAGGUACAGUAAGGAAUGGAGUGGUGUGUGUUCAGCCUGUGCUACUCUUAAGUAACCGUCUGUUUAUUCGGUCAUUCUCUACUUCAGCACUCACGAAUCAGACUCUAUAGUACCCUUUGCAGAUUGUGGGACCUGAGUGUGUGAGCCUUUGGGGCCUGGGGGAGAACCUGCAGGCCAACCCCUCACUGUUCCAUUAGUGGAAUAAGACCAAUCUGAACAGAUCCAGUUUGAAUUCAGCUCUGUCAGUUUUAAGACUUACAGUACAGUCUUGAGCUUGUCUGCAAAAAAAAAAAAGAGACAGGAAUAUCUUCCUUGUAACCUGUGGAAGGACUCAGAUAAGAAAAGGAAUGUUUGAUGAUCAGCAUCACAGAGCUAAUGUCCUUGCUUUUAGCUAAGCACCCUGCCAAACAGUCCAUAUUAAUACUUUUUGUUAAAUCUCACAGCAGCCCUAUAGAUAGGGAUGUUAUUAUUUUCAUGUUCUAAAUGAAGAAAAAGACUUAUUUGGAAAACCCAAUAAUUUGUCCAAGAUCAUGAAAGGAAUAAAAGGUAGAGCUAUUGCUGUGUAUGAUUUUUAAAGCCCAGAAUGGACUCCUUAUAUCCUCCAGCCAUGCCAUCUUUAAGUGUAGCUUUGCUAGUUGGGGUUUUGAAGACUUUUCAGUCUUCUAUUGGCAUUUGAAGUCUUUAAGUCUUAGGAGGGAGAACCUUGUUACAGCUUGAAUUUUAAUUCACAUUGUAGCAACUUUGAUAUCUGUAACUGGUUGCCUGACAUUGUAUGUUUGUGGGUCCUGGAGGACUGGGUUGGACCUACCUCGGCAGUAUUUCUAAAAUGAGGGUUGUGACUCCUGGUCAGAUUUACCUGGGGGGAUUUACAGAAAUGUAAUUUCCUUGGGUGCUUCUUUGAUGUCCUAAAUUGUAAUCUCCUCCUGGGAGGAUAUGGGAAACUACAAGUGACACUAUCUAGAUAGGCGAUUCUUAUUUAGUCUGAAGCAUGAGAAUCAGUGACUAGAAGAAAUGAGAAAUGUCAGAGGAUUCUUUCAUUGUCUCAAGUUACAGGAAGACAAGAAGCAGCUCAGGUGCAGUAGCUCCAUGGGUUUCCCUGUGCAUCUCUUGGCAUUCUCUGCAUGGGCAGCCACAGCAUAGUGAUGCGGUUCUAACUGUGCAGGGGGAAGGCACAUCCCUGGCAUGAGCUCCUGUCUGCUGUUCUUAUUCUUACACAACUUUAUUGAGGAGCAGUUGGCAUACAAUAAGUUACACAUUCUUUUUUUAAAAUGAAGUUUUUAUUUUUGAUUGACAGAGUAACUGCAGUGUGAUAGGGUAUAGUGUGAUGUUUCAGUUCACAUGUAUGAUGUGUAAUGAUCAGGUCGGGGUUUUUGACAUAUCCAUUAACUCAUUCACUCAUUCAUUCAUUCAUUCAUUCAUUCAUUCAUUCAUUGUGUUUUGUGUUGGGAAUAUCCCAAAUCCUCUUCAUUAGCUAUUUGGAAACGUACAGUUGUCAUAACCGUAGUUAUCCUAUGGUGUUAUAGAACAUUAUAGAAUACUAGAAGUUAUUCCUUUUAUCCACCUGCCUUCUGCACCUGUUAACCAGCCCUCCUCUUCAUAUCCUUCGAAGGCUCUAGUAAUCAGUAUUCUACAUCUGCUUUUUUAUGAUGUCAGCUUUUUAGCUUCUAUAAAAGUGAGAACAUGUUUUAUUUGUCUUUCUAUUAAACUGCACAUUCCUGCGUCUGCCUUAUAAGGUAGACACUGCAUGAGGUCCCCACACCAUGAUGGUGAGCACAUGCAUCAGUCAGAAGUGUCAAUCAGAAGAAAUGGAAGCAUUUCUGUCUUGCAGGCCCUUCUUCCCACUCUCUUUAUUCUUUGUGAAAUCUUUGAAACUGCUAUGGGGAAAAAGUUUCCUUGUUGAGGGUAAAAUGGUAGGUAGGAACGUAUUGUGGUUUCAGUUUUUGUUUUCUUUUUGAGGAAUAUAGUGGAAAUAAUAUGAUGAUUACAGGUGUAGGUUACCAUAUCAUUUAUAGAAAGUUUUGAGAAACCGACAAGUAUUCUAGACCAUUUCUGAAAAGUUUGACAGGAAAUGUACUUUUUGGAGGGUUGAGAAAGUGGCGGAGAUGUGACUGUUGGUGGCAGGGGAGAGGAGUGACUGGUGGGUGCCAUGUGGAUGGGGGUUGCACAUGAGAACCAAAGGCUGGUUUUCUUUGGGUUUUCAUUGUAUGGCAUUUAUUCUACAUGGGAAAAACUAACAUAAAUCACAACAUGAUAUGGAAUAGAAAUAUAAUCCUCACUUAACUGGAGAAUAUAUUUAGCUCAAGUGCAUUUUACAUUUUAUUGAAUGGCAUGAUUUAUUUAUGAUAUUUAUAGAUUAAAAAUAAAAUUUGCCCCAUCACUAUAACUGGCUUUGGGUUGGGUGUUUCUUUAGUUGCUGAAUACUCUUGCUGAAGUUAAGGUGUCUUUUUUUUUUGGGGGGGGGGGGUAAGUACCAGGGAUUGAACCCAGGCGCACUUAACUGAGCCAUAUCUCCAGCCCUUUGUAUAUUUUCUUUAGAGACAUGGUCAUGCUAAGUUGCUGAGGCUGGUUUUGAAUUUGAGCUCCUCCUGCCUCAGCCUCCCGAGCUGCUGGGAUUACAGGUGUGCAUUGCUGUGUCCAGUACCGAAGUUAGUUUCUACUGCAGAAAGCAUUAUAUAAUGUCAUUGAGUUAAUAGCUGUUUUUUUUUUUUUUUAAAGAAUUGGUAAAAUGUGUGGGAUUCAACUGUCACCUAGUUUCUUUUACUCUUUGAAUUUCUUUACUAUAUUUUUAUUUAUUUCCAGUUUUUCCAUGUAUUUAUUUUGAAGGAAUAUGCUUGAGGUAAAAAUGGGAGCAUUUCUGUCAUAAUUUAACCUUCUUAGGAAUAUCAUUUUUGCUCUGUGUCUGAGAGUUGAAACAAUUCUUCGUACUUUAUAGAUGACAUUCCCUCCUCACCUCUACGGCUAAAUCAGUCAGUCAGUCAAUCAAAACCAAAAUGUAAUGGAGAGUACACAUCUCAGUUCCAGGUGGCGCUCAUUGUGGGUGAGAAUUCCCUGGAGAAAGACCCUUUGCUGGAGCACUAGUGACUUGAUGUUCCAUCAGAAGGGGCUCGGUGUGUUUCUUCUUUUAGGCUGGUAGCUCAUGAGUGUGGUGGCACAGAGUCAUUUCCAGGUUUAGACUAGCAUGUAUACUGUGCUUACACCCAUAGGUUUUGGGGAUUAGGUUGGGGCUUUUGAGUCCUUUCUCUCUUUAAUUCAGUUACUAGUUACAGAAAGAGACUAGCUAUAAUUGUAACAAGUCUACCCAAGGUUGACUAUCCUUCUGUACCUCUCCUUAUGAAAAUAUCCUGCAGGUUGACUGUUUGGGGGUUUGCUUUGGAUUAAUGAUCACCUUUCAGUCUGUUAGUAUUAAUUCAGUUCAUUCAGUCAUUAACUGGCCGUGGCCAUAGGAAAUGGGACGCUGCUGGAUAGGGAAGAUGGGUCAUUCUAGUUCAUGAGCCACUGCUGUCUGGGGCCUGGGAAGGAGGCUGGAAGGAGGUUCCACAGAGAGAAUACCUUGAAUCCAAUUUAGGACCAGGGCUAACCUCUUGGGCUGUGUUGGGGGAAGCUACUUAGGUCCAGUCACCUUUAAGAAUUCAGAGCAGAACUGUCAAUUUAACAGUGUCCAGGGCUAAUAGGCAGGUGUCAACCAUAAUAGCUGCUUACUGCAUUGUUCCUGUGGGAAAAAUAUAUGUGAGUUUCCCAUACCUCCUUUGUAAGUGGACUGGCUCUGAGAAUUGGCUCUUCUUGCUAUUGUGGGGGAGGGCAGGAUGUGGCAGUUAGCUACUGGCUGGGGUUGUGUUGCCCCUGAGAGUUUCCAGCCGCUUUUUGCUUGCUUACUUGUAUUGUAGGGUCCUUGUGAGGACCACGGUGAACUGCUUACUGCCCUUACCUUCCCUUACCCAAUCACAAACUCAUUUGGAAAACAUUCCUAAGAUCCUUCAUUGAUGUUUUGUUUUUAAAUCAGCUAAAACAUUUUUAAUUUUGGCACAAUUUCCUUCAAAGGUAGUUUGUCAGAACUGCUAAAUAUUUAGGUGGAAAGAUGGACUCAGUUCCAUGGAAUCAUUUGUGGGAAUUCUGUUGGUUGUAAUAUUCAGGUGCCGAGGAACAAUUCCUGACUACCUGGAGGUGGGGGCAUCCUCUGGCAGUUGGUGUCUGGCACUUCUGGCAGGGAUUAACUGGUAGAAAGUUUAGGGCACCAUUUUUUUUUUUUGGGUGAGUUAGUGAAUUCUAAUCAUAACUUAGAACACUUUUUAAAGUCAUCCAUAAAUACUUCAUUGUCUUUAUUGUCAAGAGAUUAUUUUAAAAAUACAGAUUUUGGAAAUGAAUAUUGCCCAUGGAGCUCUUUGUUCUGACUAGGCUUGUUGCUUUUCCUUACUAAUAGAUAUUAGGAAAACAAAACUUGACUGGCUUCUUGCCUUUUGUUAGAAACAUGCUGAAAUGGUCUAAAUAAUGAUGCUACUAAAACAAUGUAUGCAUUGUUUUGAUGGGUAUUGAUUCCUUCUGUAGUGUUCAGAAUUGCUUGCAUGCCUCCCAGCAACAAAUGCAUAUGUGACUGUGUGAGAGGAGCAUUCCAGAAAAAUGGAAUGCUGCUUUACUUUUCAGUAGCUGUGCAACUUAAAGGGAAAAAGUCAUGUUUUUAGAAAUGCGGCCUUAAGGCACUAACCCACUUAUAUCCAGUGCAUGAAGCUCUGCAAGUUAUUUUAACACAACCUGAUCAGAGGGAACAAAAAUCUGGCAUUUAUAGUUUGUUUGUUUAUUGAUUGCCAUAAGUCAUUAGAAAGAAUAUCCUGUUCCUUUUAAUAAAAUCCUCUUGGACAGUUAAGUGUUAUAUUGUGGGGCAGAGCUGACCUGGGAGAAUGUAGGUAGAAAUGGCAAAUGGGGAUUUAUGAAAGAAUUGUAACCAAGUUAAGGUCCUUUUGCUAGUUGUGCUUCACCUGCUCUCCUGUGUGGCAGGAUGUAAUGUGUGUUGCUUCUUAGAACUUGCUGUCCAGUACACAGAAGUUUGGAUUCUGAAAUCAGGGAAUGUAGCCUCUCAAGCUUAGUUUUCAGAGAUGAAAUGCUGAAGAUGAUCUUAGUAGUAGGCUCAACUGUUCGUGUUAUUUACUAGUGAAAUGAAUAUUGAAAUUGUUUACUGUAACAGUUAAUUGUUACACUGUUAACAGUUAACUUACUGUUGCUGAAAGUUAAGCAAAUGUGUUGUGACUUAGGUGUUAGCUACAUUUUCAAAACAAAAUUUAGCUCUUUUCUUUUUAAAAACAUAAAUUAGUUUGUUAAUGGGGAAAGAGUAACAUUUGUUGAAAAAUUAAGUCACUUGCUUUUUUCCCUUUGUAGAUCUUCGUGUCAAGCCUGUAUUAACUCCUUGUAAUUCCAGUAGGACUAGCAAGUUAUUUUGCUUAAAAUGUCUUUUUUCCCCCCUGUGCAGUGAAAGUCGAAUGUGAGAACAGAUCUUAAUAGAUAUAGUUACACAGUUUAUUUUAUCAUGUAUCACUUUAUUGCUAUCUUCUAGAACAUUGUUAUACUAAAUGUUCCAAUAAUGGAAAUUUUAUGCAGCUACUUCAAAUGAAAGAAAUUUGCAAAAACUCAAUUUUGGAACUCAUUCCUUGAGGAGAGGGAAAAAACUCACCAUGCUGUGACCAAAUUAGAUUUCUGAUAUGUUGGCAACUUAUCAAACACUGUCAUUUCCAGAAAACAGGGUGUGGGUUCCCACUGAAAUAUCACUAUUUCCCAAUCAAUGUCAAUUUGAGAUAUUUUGAGUUUUAAUAUGAUUGAAUGGCCAAAUGUUUACAAAGUUGUUGUUGGUAACAGGUAAUUAAAAAUUGGUUUUGUACCUAAAUGAAAAUGGCUUUAUGUGGAAUCAGGAAUGACCAUGUUCAAUUACCAGGGAGUCGUCUUUUCAAGAGCUUGAUUUAAAAUUCUCAGAGAUAUUAGUUGUACUUACUGGAGCUCCUUUGUUUUGCAGAGAUCAUGAUGCAGCCGUCCUUUUGGAUUUCUUUUUAAUAAUGUGUGACCCUUCACCUUUGAUCCCCUGACCUGCAUUACCUUGGUAACCAUUUCAUUUUUUAAUUUAAUUUCAUUUUUAAUUUUGGUGUACAAGCUGUAACAUUUCAUCUCUCAAAGUGUAGCACGCUGAUUUCCUCAGAUAGAGAUACCCCUUUGAGCGAUAAAUUUGCAAAAUGCUGUCUUCAUUUUUUGUAUUAAAAUUCAUUUCAGUUUUAUAAAAUAAAAUGUAAUCUGUGUUUUCAUCCUUUUAAAAUUUAAGUUUAGUGAGUGCAUUCCCCCAUACAGGAUAGUUCCUCUUCUACCAGUGUUUUGCGGAAGCUGAAUUAAGUGACAUUCAUAUGUAAUGCACACCCCCCUUACCCCCACUCCACUGCCACUCCCUGUCAUUCCCCUGCUGUCACCACACAGCCCUGCCAUUGCAGGAUGAUGACUUGUCUUCCCUUCAGAAUAGUAGCAACUUGAAUUUUAGUCUUAGCAGCCAGGUUCUGCACCCUCAGGUUAUAUUUUGUAUUCUCAAAUAUUGUGGGGAGGGAAAGCUUAGAGUUUUAUUUUUAAUUUCAUUUAAGGGCUGGAAGAAUGUAAGCUAUUUUCAUUACCAGUGUUUGCCUUUCCCACCUCCUUUAAUGUUUUAUUUCUUUGAGACCUAAAUUAAGGAAAAGUCACAGUUUUAAUUUGACCAAAAAAUGUGGUUUUGUCUAUGCUGAAAUUUUAUCAGUGAGCUCUGCUGGUCCCUAUAUCAGAUUGAUUUUUGCCAUUUGUUCUUAUUUCAUGUUUGCUUUUCAAAUAAUGUAUUUUUAUUGUACUCUUCUUCUUUUCAGAAAAUUCUUAAAAGCAAAACAAACCAAAACCAAAAGUCAAACUUGAGUUAAUUCUUUGAACUGGCAAAAUACUCCAAGAAAUUGUAUUCUUAAAAAAAAAAAAAAAGCUGCGGACUCUCUUGCAUGGCCCAGUGAAGCACAGAUGAUUUUUUAAGUGUCUCAUUAUUUUAUUCUCUAACAUUUAAUGCUGAUGUUUUAAUUGCACACAGCUGAAGCUGCUAAAUGAGUACUGAAAUAGAUUUAAGUCCUCUCUGAGCUUUGUUGAUACCUAUAAAAGUUUAUAUCAUUCAUUAGAACCACAAAUUAAAAUUAGUUGUGGUGAGCUGUUCAUUGGAGAUUGGAACUCUCACGAACAUUUUAGCUCACAGACUUUGUUUUUGCCUGUUACACCUAUUUACCUGGAAAGCUGCUUUCGCCCUGUUGGGUAUCCUUUCUUUUCACAGAAUUGGAAAAAUAUCAGAGUUGAGGAAUACAAAUAGACAACUCAUCCUAUGAUUGUAAAGCCCCCAUGAUUAUAAGUGUUCCAGUGGUUGAGAGCAGCUUCCUUGCUGAACCUUGAAUUUUAAGGUGAUUUUUUUAUUAUAAUGUGUUCCACUGUUGUGCAGAGAAAUUUUCCAGAUCCAGAAACUUUUUUUUUUUGGCCUUAGGUACGUUGUUUAUUUGUUCUUUUGUUUAUUUGUUCUUCUAGCACCAAAGGGAUGGUGCCUGAAUCACAGUUCAUAGACUCACAGGGCUUUAGGGGACAGUGACUGCUUGUCAGCUCCACUCCUCUUCCUGAGGGAUGAGCUGGCCCAUGGUUCCCUGGGGAGUCACAAGUUCUCUGAUGACAGAGUCAGCUCUCUCUGUGGGCCCCCAUCUACUUGAGAGAGCCAGAUAACUUUAUUUAUAGCCUGUAGUAGGAGAUGAAGAGACAUUAAUAGGUGCAGAAAUAAUUUCUAUUGUCAUGUUUUAUUUUGUGAUUAAAUCAGUUAAAAAUUUUAAGGUUUUCUGAUUAAUACAUUUUAAGAGAACCUAAUUUUUCUAAGAGAGCUAGUACACAAAUACACUUAUUAUUUUCAAUGAACAUUAGUUAUAUGGUUAGUAUUUAGGACUUCUGGUAAGUUGUGAGGCACAUGAAUACUGUUUUUGUAAUCAUGAUUCACUGAGAAAACCCUUGUCUGAGAGUCAGAAAACUUGCUUUGGACUAGCAUCAAGGUCUUUGGACAUGUUACUGGUGUCUUUUGAGGUAGUUACCCCCAAACUAAAAUAUUCGAAGACAAAGAACUUGACACUUUAAUUUGGGAAUGAAUACUGUGAAAUCAGUUGUCUUGAUUGACCACAUAGGAGCUUGUAAAACAUUUCGUUGAUGCUGCUUCCAUUUUAUGUGUAUGUGAAAUGUAGACUGUGUGUCUCCUACUUGCCUUUUAGGGUUGUUGGGAGGAUAAAUGAAACACACACUGGGAACUCAGAAGAAAGGUGCUUUUGAAACUGAACCUCAUCCUAUGGCUGUGCCAAGAGGCAGUGGUAGUGAACCCCGUGGUGAAGGGCCAGGACCAUGGCUCUGGAGCCAGGCUGCCGUGGUUUGAAUCCCACCUUGGCCUCUUGCAAGCGGUCUGACUGCAGCACAUUACCUAACCUCCCUGUGCCUGAGUUUCCUCCUCUUUAACUUGAGGAUGAUAAUAGUAGCACCUACUCAAAGGAUCCUGGUGAGUUUUAGCUGAGCUGAUGUGUGCGGAAUCCUUAGAGCUGCGCUGGCGUGUAGCGAGCGAGGCCACACCUGCACACCAUGGGCAGGACAUAUACCUUGCACAAAAUGACAUUGCAGCCCCCCCAUCCCCCUGCCCACCAUUAGUCUUCUAACAUUGAUUUAGAAACCAUUGAAUGCUUAGAGAGGGGUACUGCAUAGUUGGUGAUAUUUAAGCACCUCUAGAUAGAAGUUCAGUGGGUAAAGUUAAAUUUGGCUUCCUAACCUUUUUGUAAAAAAAUUCAGCUCACUAGGAUCUGCCUGACACUCUGACUGUUCUUUUGUUUUAGCUGUUUUGGGUUAUGGAGGCAUAAGGGGAGAGGUGUGAGGGAGGGAGCUGCCUUUUGCCUAGUUAGCUUUCGUACCUCCACUCUGCUAAGUUGUCUAGCUGGCUUUCAAGGAGUUAGAGGGUUGAACUGUUGAGGGGCUUUUACUUGACCGUAUGAGGCUUUGGACUCCUCUUAAGUAGAUCGAAGGAUGGGACCCACAGUUGUCCCUGCAUGAGAGAGAAUAUAUGUUGCAUUGUUCCCAGUGCUUUCCAUACAUUUUAAUCAUCCAGAUUUAUCCAGGAGGUGAAUGGUGUGUUAACCCAGUUUUGCAUCUGAAAAUGCUGAGGUUUAGGUAGGGUAAAUACACUUUCCUAGGUGCACAUCCCUAGUAGACUGCACAGUUGCAGAACUGGCAUUUAAAUCCAGGUGCUGCUUACCUCCUGAUACUUGCUGCCUUGCAUUCACCUGCAAACCUGGUAGAACCUCUUAACAAGAGACUGUUCUGCUGUUUUCGUUGCAAGGACCUGAACUGCAUAUAUUAGUGUCCCUCAGCCAUUGGACCUUUUAAAUGAACAGCACCUCUAACUUAGUAAGAACUCAUAUGAUGGAGUAGCUGGCUCUAACAAUCUAUUACCACCAUUAUCAGGAAAGUUCCAUUAUAUAUGUGGCACUUGAUCCUGGUUGCACAUCUGGAAUCACUCGUGUAGUGUUUUGUUUAAAAUUUGAAGCACUAGUCCCAUCCGUGACUGAUUGUGGUCUAGCAGAGAACCAUUGAUCAACAGGUUCAGAUAUAUAGAAAGGUUUUUUUUUUUUUUUUGCCUAGUUACAUACAAACAAAAAUUGAUUUUCUGUACACGCACAGAUUUGUGCUUCUAGAAUAUGGACCAGUGCAAUUAGUUCUAUAGUUGGCUACAUUGUAGAUUAAAAUGGAUCUCUAGUUUAAUCAUUUAACCAACACUGAUCAGUACCCUUCCUGAAGGCAAGGUCCCAGCAUCUAUUCCCUAAAUGCAGUCGUGUGUGAGAACCCCGAACGUCCUGAGAGGUGGGCUCUCACUUAGUUACAGGGUGAACCAAGUAGAGGGCCCUGUUUGCUUUCUUCUCCCUUUCACCUGUCUUCUUUCUCUUUUAUGCAUCCAUUUUUCCUUUCUCUUCUCCUUCCCUUCUCCAUAGUUCUGUCCUCCCUCUUUUUCUCUUUCUUACAUUUAUCUGAUUUUGACAGUGUGACAAUCAUCAAGCUGUAAAGUACUUGAACUACUUCAUGUGCACAGCACAUAGUAGGUGUUCAAAUGAACUUUUUCUUAUUUUUCUUAGCAUCUGAUUUUCAAAGGAGUAGGCACUACCCCUCAUUAAGCCUGAACUUUGUUAGAUUUUGUUUGUGAUUGUCUAUCCUAACUUGGUUUAUCUUGUGAAUUUAGAUAGUUUAGUCUCACUGGUUCUGAUAAGUUGAGGAACUCCAGGGUUUAGUCACUGAGUAGUACAGAAGCUUAGGGAAUAGAACAGACUUAGAUUGUUUUAGAGGCUGCUUUUAUCAGGCUUCUAAUGUAUUUGCUUCUAGUAUAUUUUUAAGCCAGAGGAUCUGUGUUUGCCUCGUCAGACCCCCUUUGUUUGGUGAUGAGGAAGCUGCCAUGGAGAGGGAAAGGCCGUUGGACUUGCUGCUGCUACCUCCUCUGGUAGCAUUGUGUGUUGGGACAGAGAGCAGAGCAAACAAUAUGACAGCCUAGAGGUCUGCAGCUGACUGUUUGCCUCCAGAAAUGUUGGAGAAGUAGUCACAGUAAUCCUCCUUCUGCUUCCCCCUUUCACAGGAGAGGUGACCUAAGGGUGGGGCGAUUCUGAGGGGAGUGGCAGGCCUCCCCAGCGUGGAAGUCGGGAGGCUGUGUGUGCGGCCCUGCACCCCAGCAGGUUGGCCCAGGCGCCAGCUGGCUGCCUUAGGAGUUCCUUCUGAUGGCCUUUAGCCCUUCGAGGCUUUUCGGAGGCUGAGAAACGCGCGGUAAAGGUAUGGAAAGGUGUUUUUGUCAUUCUUCAGUGAAAAUCUGCCCUAACCAGAAAGGGAGUUUCUGCCUAGGCAGGAAACCAUUGAAAAAGCUCGUUUGUGUUAGUUGUGGUUAUUGUUUCCCCUGGAAACUGUGGCCGUGGUUACUGUGGUACUGUGUGACAAUCUGAGUGUUUAGACUAGAUUUCCUGUUUUCCACACACAUUUAUAAGUGGGUUCAGAAAUGUGCCUGUGAUGAACAUCACACAUACCUACUACAAAACUUGGAUGGUCAGCUUGGUGUGGUUUUGUGCACCUCUAAGCCCAGUGGCUCAGAAGGCUGAGGCAGGAAGAUUGCAAGUUUAAAGUCAGCCUCAGCAACUUAGGGAGACCCUGAGCACCUAAGUGAGUCCCUUUCUUAAAAUGUAAAGAGGGCUAGGGAUGUGGUGCUGUGUUUAAAUGCCCUGGGUUCAGUCCCCUGUACCCAAAACAAAAACAAACAAACAAAACACAACGGGUUUGACCUCCAGUCCUUUUUUCUCUUUGGUGCUGAUCCUUUUUCUUAUUUCUGCAUUUUUCCAAAGGAGAAACUAUAUGAUCUAACUUUUUGUGAUGGUGAGAGGAGGAUUGGUCUGGAGCGUUGAAGCUCUUGGUCAAGGUGUGGCUCUGGGUUUCCUUUUACCAGCUCUAGUUCACCUUACAUGCCUGGCACAAGUUCUUGUACAUAAUAGACACUCAGCAAACAUUAACUCUCUUUUCAUUUCUCAUUAGCACAGGUAAUUAAGAAUAGGAGCUGAUAGACUCCACAUAUCUGUGCAGAGAUAUAUCUGUAAUUAAAGUUUUAAUUAAAGAGACACCAGACCAGGCAGAUGGUUCUUAUCCUCAUAUCCUGUAAACCAAACAGCCGUGGCUUUUCGAUCUUGCAAACAAGCAAAGCUGAGAAGCUGCUUUCAUGGUGGGGCAUGGUAGUUUUAUUAACUAGCCAUGAUCUAUUUUGGUACUACUCUGUGUGAUGCCUGAUCCAGGGAUAAUCAUUGUAGUUUGAUAUGGAAAGACAAUACAUCAAAGUUAUGUCCCAACUGAAGCUUUCAAGCGUCAUCAAGGGCAUUGCCACAGCCCAGCUGGUGCAUCACAAGGCAUGUGGUUUUGUGCUAGAUCACAAAAGCUGACAAAGUAUUAUUUAGGAUCAUCCGCUAAAUACAGUAUUAAAUUAAAGCACCAUAAUCCUGAUUUUUCAGGUUUUGCCACUGUAUAGCAAUGCAGAAUUGAGUUGUGCCUGUUUGCCUCAUGCUGGUUCUCUUCUAUGUCACAGUGACCUUAUUGGCUAAUCAGGCGCAGAAUUUAAGAAAUAAAACAACUGCAGGGGCUAACUAACAGAAAAGGACUUAUCUCAGAUCUUAUCACUUUUUAGGCCCUUCCAGUGAACCCCAGCCAUUUAUUCUAUUGCAUCCCUGUUGGCAGGAGCCAGAGCAGUGCAGGGAAGUGGGCAGCUCACCUUGACCUCUUGGAUUUUACCCUCUUCUUUACCCGAAGUUUCAUAACCUUUCCUUGUAAUUUUUAAUGCAGCUAGCUGCAUGGUUUUCAGGCCUUCCAUGCAAGAGGCAGUUCUAUAACAGAAUUGCAUGCUGGUUGAUGUAGGUGUGUUUCUACCACCAGCAUCCCAGUUUAUUUUGUUAGGUAGAACCAGUACUGAAGAUGUUGAUUUCUUAUUGCACAAUGGAACAGUUUAGUGUAGAGAUUAGGAGCAUGGUUUCUGCUUUGCUGAACAGUGCUGCUUUCAUAGGAGGUGCAGUUUUUGUGUGAUAGAGUCCACAGUACACUGGGAAGUACACUGGAACUUUCACAUCACAGACCAGUCAUCAAGUGAUAGAACCUAGAAGUGUUUUAACUUACCUUAAUACCAUCUAUAAAUCAAGGUCCAUCUGUCCUAGCUGAAAUGUGUGUGCAUAGGCACAAGGAGAUGGGCCAGAACCAUGAGAUGUGCAUGUGCUUUGAGUGGAGCCUGUGUCUCAUGGGUAGCUGGAAAUGUGUCUACCACCUUCUGUCUCAGGGAAGGAUGUUUUUUGGUUUUAAAAGAGGUCAGUUCAUUGUAAGCUGCUUUGAUUAAAUAGUCUUUUGUUAUUGUAUCCAGAAAAUACCAUAGGAUCUAUGCAGAAAUGUAUUACUGAGUAUUAAGUUGGUAUUUUACAUAUGGAAUUUGAACCUGACCAAUUACAAAGUUUGUUUCUUUUCUAAUGUGGUUCAAGACCUGAACAUGUAACUUUGGAGUAGACAACACAAUUUUAGAUUGUAGGAGGUUUCCUAUGAAGUUAAACUCUUGCUGCAUAGAGAGCAGUAGUUAUGCCGCUUUGCUGUGUAGGAAUCAGACUUCCACAAAGAGGAGAAGCACCAACAAACCCACCUUACUUUUCUUUCUGUAGUGGGUUUAGAAAAAAUGUGCACCCCCACCCCAUGCUGGGGAUUGAACCCAGGCCUUUACCAUGUUGGGCAAAUACUGUGCUACAGAGCUACAUCCAUAGCCCUGGAAAAUCUGUAUUUUACCACAUAAUCGUCACCACUGCAUUAAUGCAGAUUCACUAAUACUCCAUGCAUAUCCUAAUCUUGAACCAGUGACAGUUUAGUAAUAAACGCAUUUUAAGUAAUACUGGCACAGUAUUUUUUUUUCUCUUUUAAAGCUUUAAAUAAUGGUCACGCUCAACUUUUUGCCAAAAAAGAAAAAGAAAUAAAAGGCAUAAAAUCUGCAAUGAUUAUGUGAUGAAAUGCAUAUAUUUUUGCCCUUUCUAGUUGUGUGAUGAUGGGAGUAGAGUGUUCUGCCCACUCCAGAGUGACUUACCACCAAAUAUUUCUUUCUUUCUUUUUUUUUUUUUAAUGGCGGUACUGGGGAUUGAACUCAGGGCCUCACACAGCUAGGCAAGUGCUCUGCCACUGAGAUAUGUCCCAAGCCCUUUUUCAUUUUUUUAAAAAUUUUUAAUUUUAAAUGUUGUUUUAUUAAUACAUUCGAGUUAUUCAUAAUAGUGGGGUUCAUUUUGACGUAUUCACACAUGCAUAUAACAUAAUUUGCUCCAUUUCAAUCCCUAGUAUUUUCCCCUAACCCUCGUCUCCUCCUUCCCCUUGAUUUCCUUCCUCUACUCUGUUGGUCUUUCUUCCAUUAAUUUAUUGUUUUUUUUUAAUUGGUGCAUUAUAGAUAUACAUAAAAGUAGAGUGGAAUUUUUGUGAUGUAUUUAUAAUGCACAUAACAUAUUUGAUCUUUUUUUUUUUUGCUGUUCCUCUCCUUUCCCAUCCCUACUUUUGCCCCUUUAUUCCCCUUUCUUUACUGUUCUGUUUUUAUAUCGCCCACUUCCCCACCCCCCUCUUGUUUUUAAAUUUCUCAUUUCUCCCUAAUUUCUGCAUAUGAGAAAACAUUGAAUCUUGAUUUUUUGAGUCUGUCUUAUUUCACGUAGCAUAAUGUUCUCCAGUUCCAUCCAUUUGUAAGUAAAUGACAUAAUUUCGUUCUUCUUUAUGGCUGAGUAACAUUCCAUUGCGCAUAUACACUACAUUUAAAAUUGUUGAUGGACCUUUAUUUUAUCUAUUUAUUUAUAUAUGGUGCUCAGAAUUGAACCCAGUCCCUCACACAUGCUAGGCAAGUGGUCUACCACUGAGCCACAACCCCAGACCCCUAUACGUCACAUUUUCUUGAUCCAUUUAUCUGUUGUUAGGCACCUGGACUGGGUUCAUUACUUGCUUAAUUUGGAUCAUGGUGCUAAAGACAACACCCAGCCCUUUAAAAAAUUUUUUUUUUAAAAACAGUUUCAAUGAGUUGCCUAUGCUGGCCUCUUAACUGGCCAUCAUCCUGUCUCGGAUUACAGGCAUGUCCAGCCACACCCAGCUUAUUUAUUUGUUCUUUAAAUAGUUAUUGAAUUCCUGGUAAAGGGCAGCAGUAAGCAAAAUUAUGCCAUUCCCCUCGAAAAGUUUAUUUUCUGGUUAGGGGAAAGGGCAAUAAACAAAAAAAGAGUAACAGUAAUUGAGAAUUUGUAUGAACCAGUCAUGUUGGUUAACUCUGUGUCCUCCUCAGAGCACUCUGUGCAGGUGAGUGCUGUUCUGCCCCUUUUGCAGCCUAGGGAGACACUACAGAGAUGUGGACUGGCCUCUGCCCCACCCAGUGGGCUCUGUGCUUUCACAUUCCAGGCUGCUUGACUCUCUAUUAAUAAACACUGCCUGAUCUGCUAAUUUCUAAAUAAUAAACACAUAUUAUUGUUAAUGAAUGUGAUGAAGAGCACACUCAUUAUCAAUAAUAUGUGUUUAUUGAUAAUAAUAAUAAUAAUAUCAAUAAAAGCCGCAAGGGAAGCCAUUUGGAGGGCUCCUGGAUGCCUGGGUGUAAGUGUUCGUUAGCAUCAUGACUUAAGUGGAUUCCCUCAUAAUGGGGGGUGAAGGAAGGUCACAUCAUGAGCCACAUAGCUAUCCAUCCAGAGGGAGGGUAUUCCAAGUCAAGGGAACAGAAAAAGCAAAGGCCCCAAGGUUGAUGUAGCUUUGUCAAAGGUGGAAGAGAAGCCAGGAAGCCAGGUGGGAACUGUCCCUGUCUCUAGGAGGGUGGGGAGGGGAGCAGCCAGGAGCAGCAUCCCUGGGGGCCUUGCAGGUCAGGGUAAGGCCUUUGAUUUUACUGAAGAGAGGGGAAAUGGUCCAAGAAUUUUUGAGCAGAAAAAAACAUGAUAAAAAGGAUCCCUCUGAAUGUAGGGCAGAGUCUAGGGCACGGUCCACAGACAACUGCCCGCUGGCCAGAUUGCUGCCCGCUUCGGUGUAGCCAGCAAGCUAAGAGUGCUGUGUACAUUUGUGAAUGGUUGGGAAAAAAUGAAUAAUAAUAUUUGGUGUCCCAGGAAAAGUAUGUGAAACUCAAAUUUUUGUGUCCAUUUUCAUUUUAGUGUUAUUGGAAUUGAGCCGCCCUUGUUACUUUGUGUAUGUCCAAAGCUGCCUUUGAGCAGCCUUAGCUGAACUGAGUCCUUUUAACAGACCACAUGGCCUGCCUCUGGCCCUUUUCAGAAAAAGUUACUGUUCCCUGUCUUGGGGGGAUGGAGUGGAAACAGAGGAGACCAGAGUAGACAUGGCAGAAGUGAAUGGUGGUCUGAACAGGCAGUAAGAAGUGAACAGAUGCAGGACCUGUUUCACAGCAAAAGCAGAUGUACUUUGUUCACAUGGGAAGAUUCCGGGUGAUGUGUGAGUGCGGCACUGAGUUACUGGAGAGUGCACUUGCCCUUUUGGGGGUUGGGAAGACUGUGGGAGUGACAGGUUGGGGAGGAGGGUGAGCAAGAGGCCAGAGUUGUAUUUUGGAUAUGUUGGCUUUAUGGUGCCAAGUGGAGGUGUUGGGUGUCAGUCACUUGUGAGUCCAACUCUGAGGAGAGGCUGAGGCUCAAAGUAAGUAUUGGAGUGUUUUCACAUAUUGCAGGAAGGCUUCCAAGCUGUGGGAGGGUGGAAAUCCUGUAGGGAGCACACUUGGAGGGCAAGUCCAAACCUGGAACCCUGGGGUGCCCAGCAUUAAGGGUAAGGAAGCAGACAAUGAGAGGGAGCAGCCAGAGAGCGCACUUGAGCAGAUUGGGGUGUCCUGGAAGCACAGUAUGGUUCUCUGUGUCGCAUGCUGCUCAAGGUCAAGCAAGAUGCCAACUAAAGAUUCACCAUGAAUUUGGCAGUGUGGAAGUCACUCGUGGCUCUGAUAAGAGGUGCCUGAGUGACGUGGUGAGACAGGAACCUGAAACCAGCUGGGUUAAUGAAAAUGGGAGGACAGGCAGUAGAGCUGGUGUGUAGGAGACUGUCUCCUAAAGCCUGAUUGCAGGCCAGGAAGGGGCAAGAGUGGGAUUUAACCUGAGAUUAGGAUUUUGCUAGUUGAGGUCAGUGGAGGAAAGGGUGUGAGGGAACUGAGUAGGAGAGUCCAUAUGACAGUGGAGAGUCCAUAUGACAGUGGAUUGUGUAAUUGAUGCCAGGCAAGGAGCAGGAUGCAGGGAGGAGAUGAGGGACAGCAGGAGGUUGUGGGGGUCAGCAGAUUCAAGGAGUUGUUGGAUUUGGGGUGGUCAAGAGUCGUGUGCUUGAAAUUGUCAUCGUGGAGGGUGCAGUUGUGGUUACAUCUAGAUCUAAGGCAGUAUUGUUCAAAAGCAAUGUCAGGGGAGCCAUGUUUAACUUUCCAUGUUCCAAUAGCCGUAUUUUUAAAAAAGUAAGGAGAAAGAAACACGAUAAAUUUUAAUAUUUCAUUAUAUUUAACCGGUUACAUCUCAAAUAUGUGAACAUGUGAACUGUGUACAAAUUAUUGCAAUGUAUCAAUUUUUUUGUAAGUCUUUGCAAUUGGUGUGUAUUUUAUAUUUCUAGCACACCUUACUUUAGACUGGGCACAUUUCAGGUGCUCAGAGGUCACAAGUGGCUCAUGGCUGCCAUAUUGCAGAGCAUAGGUCUUGGGAAUCACUGUGGAGGAAGUACAGUCCAAGGUUAUUGGAGGGUGGGUUUAAGGAACAGAGAAGCCAAGGUUCAUGAAGGAUUAUGUGGAUCUAAGCCACUUGGGAUUCCUUACAGAGUGGGGCCGCAGGGGUUAGGAGGCUGAGUGCUUUAAUCUGCCACCCAUCAAGUGAGUCUCAGCAUCUGUGGGACUAUGAGGGACUGCUCUUGCCUCAUCUUAAGUCCAGAAAUCAUGGGUAUGGGGCAUGCUUUCAGACUCACAAUAAAAUAUCAGAAACAUGGGCUAUAAUAUUGAGAGGAUCUUUUCAAAAUAGCAGCUUCCAGUCAGGGUUCACUCUCAUUCAGAAGGCAUUUCUUUGAGCCACUAAUGAAGAUGUUACCCAUGUGAAGAACUCAUUCCAGCCCAUUUUUUUUUUCCUCAAGAAAAAAAUAUCCGUUAGAUUUUUGUCUUUUAUUUUGACAUAAAUCUUUAGAUGCUGAUCUUUAUUUUGGCAUAAUCCUCAAAUCCCUCAAAUUCUGUUUGUAAUACUUAGCUCAACAAUCUUAAACACGCUUGAAUCCCUGCAGAAGCCGACAUUUAGGAGUUUCAAGGCAGUCCACAUGAUACGCGGACAGCAGCAUGCAGCCUGGCUACCCUCUCUGCUCCUUUUGAUAGGGUACAUGUGGUAAUAUAUUUUAUAUAUACAUGCAUAUCUGUUUGUGUGUGUGUGUGUGUGUGUGUGUGUGUGUAUAAAUAUUGGCUUUGAUCCACAGUGAGUCUUUAAAGAUCAAUAAAAAUGGAUGAUGUCAGGAAGCUGUUUUUGGCCUUAUAGGCCAGGAAAAAGGAAAAUGUUUUGAAGGGGUAGACAGGAACACUUCCACAGCUCAGUUGCUAUCACUACUUUUCAUAUUUAAAGUUAACACAAGCUGCUCGUCUGAAUCCCAAUGGAAAAGGUGAAUGGAUAUUCCAGUUCUGUACCUUUAUCAAAUUCAGAUGUACCUUAGAUUCCUUUCAGUUUGUUUCCUGUAGUAUUAGGAUUAACAGCAGCAACAACAAAAAUCCUCCCAGCUCAGAUAUUUAGGAAGAAGAACCCAUUUUGAAUCUGUGUUUAUGUGCCCCCUGUUCUCAGAUGCUAUGUGUGUUGAAGGAGCAGUUGUUCAUUUUGUAGGUGCCAGUGUCAGGGAAUGAGGGAUCCAAGUGGUCCCAAGCACCUAGGCUUUGGUAAUCUCAGAGCAGUGUGAGAGUCUGCUGGGUCAGAACUGUCUUCCCUCUGGGUGUGGUGCCUCCUCUCUGCACUGUAGUGUUCCCUGAGAGCAAGCCCAGGAAACGCCACUUAGUAACGAGGAAAGCUUUCUCCUUAUGUGAGUUUUCUAAUUAAAAUGUUUUCCAUCUGAUGGGGAAGUGUGUGAAUAUCAAGAACUGGAAAUUAAGCAAGAAAUUAAAAGAACAUUAAUGGUUUCUUUGCAAUUUGUUUUGAGGUUUUCCUCACUAAGUGGUAUUUUGCUUACAAAGUCACCCUUUCACACAUAAAUCUUUAUGACAAAUGGACUGGAAUAUAUCCCAGCAAAAGAAGAGCUAUGGUGUCAUGUGUAAAUUAUAUCACACAUUGUGAAAGAGAACCCAAAGCAUUCACUUUUUAAAAAAGCAUUGUUAGUGCAGUUACUUAAUUGGUGUAUACAAAAUUAUAGUUUAUUUGAAAGUGAAGGUUGGUUUGUCUAGAGGACUGGAAGAAUAAGUGUUCUGACAUUUGUUCAUUGUUUGAAUUUACACUCCAGACACCAGAAUGCUCAAUAAAUCCAAAGUGUGAUUUACUGACUCUUUAAAAAGUUCACUGCUGAAACUUUAUCCAUCGCAACCAGUGUCCCUUCACCCCGAGGUAUGUUUGAUCUGCAGUAGGCAGGCACCUGCCCUUCCUGGUCCUUGGGCCUCAGGGAGUGCAUCGAAUGCCACACUGGCAGUUUUGUUUGUUUUGUUAUCUGGAUUUGUGUCUACUAGUAAAGUCUUCAUUAAGCUGCAGCUUCUACCUCUGGGUGGAGAAGUAGGUGGAAACAGGGAACUGUCAAACUCUGUAGCCCUUCCCGGCCUACCUCAAAGUGCCCCCACCCACAGCCUCUCACCUGCCUCUUCUCUCUCCUAGACCUCAGGGUACUGCAUGUUCUGUCUGCUGUGCUUUCAGUUUCCUUCUCUGGCCCAGCCCUUCCUCCCUACUUCCGUUUAUUCUGGUGGACAGCCUUUAGGGGCCAGCCCAGAUGCCACUUCUUCAUGCACCCUUUCUUGGGCUCCAUUCUGCAUAGUCCAUCCUUUGGUUCAUUCUUCUCCUUCCCAUAUCCCCUGUGAGGACUGUCGCCAUGAAAAUGUCAUGAUCUCUUUAUUGGUGUCUUUAAUCUACUAAAUCAGGAGCUCUUUGGGAGCAGGUGCUGGGCCUCCCUUAGAUUUCUGUUUCCCUAGAACCCAGCCCAGCACCUGCACAUGGUUGUGAGUGAAUGAAUUCGGGUGGAUGGGUGGGGGAGUGAUGGUGGGGUAAUGUACCUUCAAGUCAAAAAGGUAAACUUGAUUCCUGUUUUGGAGAAAGAGAAGAAUAAAUACUGUUUUUGUUUAUACAGGUCUUAAAAUUUUGGUAGCAGAGAGCAAAUGUGCAGAGAGCAAUGGAAAACAAGUCAGAAGCUGCUGUCUGAUUCCAGAGAAGGUCACAUUUUAUGCAAAAAGAAAAAAAGUAAUUUACAUUUGAUCACCUUGAGAUCUUCAAUUUGUCAUUGUGAUAUCUUAAGUAACUAAUGAUUAAGUGAAAUAAAUCUUGGGAAAAUAGAUCACAAAUGGAAUGAGGACUUUGCAUUGUAAGAAACCCACAACUCUUUUCUUUUCACAACAUGACCUUUUUAAAAAGUACCUUAUUGCAGGCUUGUGAAGGUGGCUGGCCUCUGAGCACUGGGCACAUGCCUGAAAGUGAUAGGCCUUUUUUAUUUACCUUGAUCCGCUGGAAUUAAACAGUCAUGCUUAUAUUCAGUUAGUUUGAGGUUUGGUUGGAAUUCAGUUCCAAAUUGGCGAAAGAAAUGAGCAUCCAGCCCCUCUUCCUCAUAUUGUCCAACUUGCCUUAUGAGACUCAUAUGCACAGUAUUCCCUGUUUAAACUGAAGUCACUCACUUGACUCUGUCCCUGCAGUAGUCCCUAAGGAAGGUAAACGAACAGAUAUCUUGAGACUUCCUUCUGCAUCAGUAGUUUUGAUAGUUUCAAGGCCACUGUGGAAUUCACCUGUAGUCUGUUAGGACCUUACCUUACUUAGGAACAUUAGUCCUUUUACUCACACACCCUCCAGUAUCCCUUUGGAAUGCUGUGUUUUUCUAACCCAUGAAACUGGUCUAGAAAGUACAGUAGCAAGUGCUGAGAAUUGAAGUCCACCUUCCUAGUGCUGUGCUUCACAAAUAGUCUCUAGCUGGGGGCCUCUCAGAGCAUGGUGUUCUGUUAUAUCAAUAUGUACUUAGACAUGCUAAUCUGAAUUAGAGAGCCGAUAUACAUAAUGACUCCCCUGGGAUGCUAUAUUAGAAAAAAAACAAAACAAAAACUGAAGUAGUUUGCUGAAUAUGCAUAGGAAGCUAAAAAAUAAAAUCCUUCUAAAAUGAGCGUUAAUUGAAUCUGGACCUUGAUCAUCUUUGAACCUCUAAUUUUUAAUUUGAUCCUUUAAAAAAGUUUUAUAGGUUCUUGAAGACAAAAUCUACAACUCAAUAAAAGUUAUGCUGUAGUGAUUGCCUAAAGACUGUACAAAGCCCAAUUUUGAGGUAUUGUUGCUCCAUGUAUACACAGCAUGUGUGGGGUAGAUGUAUAUAUAUGUACAUGUUCAUGCAUACACAUACCAACUAUAUGUGCUUAAUCUAUGCUGUAGUUUGCCUUUAUUCAGAUUCCCUCUAGAAAUGGGGCAAAUUUUCUUCAGUUAAAAACAGAAAUAGAAGCGCCGGCCUUGACCCAUUUUAUACCUGUUUAUUUCAGGCUCUCACCACACACUUGUUCAUGGGCACAGCAAGAAGAGGGAUCCACAGAGCUGGAGCCGUGAGGUCUGACACAUUGGGGUGAAGCUGGCAAAAUUCGUAGGGAGAGCUUUACCAUCCUGCCAGCUCCAUAUCUGGCCUCAAGACAGUUCUAUUAGUGAAUUAAUUGUACUCAAAACCUCGAAUUCAUUUGAACCGAAUGUUACUAAAAAUGAAAUAGAUCAAAGUGACCUCCUCUUGCCUCAUCCAGAGUGAUUGUGAAGGAGCCCAUGGCCUCAUUUAUCUCUGGAGAGCAGGUCUCCACCUGUGUGCCUCCUGGUCCUGGGGUUUUUCGUGCCCGUCCCUGAUGCUACUCUGCCCGCAGUCCCUCAGCAGGCUUCCAUUUCUUACUGGCACUUCACUCCCCUGGAAUCUCUUUAUGUUGAUUACUGUUUGUCUCCCACAAGAAUGGAAGCUCCAUGAGAGCAGGGUCUCUGUCUUGUUCCAUGUCCCAGUGCAUAGGACAGUGCCUGGCACAGUAGAGUUUCAAUAAACGCUAUUGAAUGAACUAGUGGGUCACUAGCCUUGUGUCCUUUCUCAAUCUUUCCCUUUUACUUGCUGUUUAUAUAUGACAUGCCUUUUAAAGUCAUAAAGCAGUGAAAAAUUGGGAUCAAGUGUAAAAAUUUUGUUGUGAUUGAAAUAACUGUUGACCUAGUUCAGGGUAGAACAGAAAACCCAGAGUGUAUGAGGACUUAAGAAUUACAACCUGUGUGUUAU